GAUACAUCCUCAAACCUAACUUUUGCAUAUGUUGCAUCACAUUCCUCAGUUGAACCUUUGUGCGUUGGUGCAACAAUCUCAUCACACAAGUUAUGGAUGCCUAGAAUUUCUGUUGCUGCUGUUGCUCAGAAAGAGGCCGUUGUGGCCGUCGAUCAUGAAGAGAAGGUUGUGGUAGAGGAGGAACAAGAACAAGAGAAAGAGAAUGGAGGGGAAAUUGAUGCAGAAGUAGACAGUAGAACUAAGCUUUAUUUUGGGAAUUUGCCUUACAGUGUUGAUAGUGCACAACUUGCAGGGCUAAUUGAGGAUUAUGGUAGCGCAGAACUAAUCGAGGUACUACUUCAGUAUCUAACUCUUUUUGAAUUUUUUUAAUUAUUUAUUUUGGAUCUUUUGAUUGAACCUUGUCAAUAGCAUGCUAUAGCAGUGCAAUAUAGGAAUGACAACAUAACUCGUCCUCGUGAAAACCCACCUGAAGCCGCCUCGAGUUUGACGGGACAAAUUAGUUUUGAGUGAGUUUAGGUUUUCAGUUACAAAUAUGGGGAACAGGGAUUGUUCGGUGAUUCCCGCCUAUUUGUUAUCCUAUCAGUCAUGUUAUUCCAUGUUUGAUUUACCGUAAUGUUAAUGAAUUAUUUAUGUCUUUAGGUUCAUUACGACAGGAACACUGGAAAAAGUAAAGGCUUUGCAUUUGUGACCAUGAGUAGUGUUGAAGAUUGUAAUGAAGUAAUUAAAAAUCUUGAUAAAAAAGUAAGAACCAUUAUCUCUCUUCCUUGUAAUGCUUAACUUUUUUUGCAUGCUAAAACUUGUAAAUGAACAACCUCACAGGAGUUCAUGGGGCGAAUCUUGCUGGUGGAUUUCUGUCGGGUGAAUUUCUCGGGCAAACACCAUGUAGAAUCGUUGUACCCUGAAACCAAAUACAAGCUUUUUGUUGGGCACUUGUCUUGGACAGUAACUUCCGAGAGUCUGGCAGAAGCCUUUCAACAACAUGGAACUGUGGUUGGAGCUAGGGUGAUGUAUAAUGGCGAAACCGGACAGUCUCGUGGCUUUGGCUUUGUUUGCUAUGCCAAUAGAUCAGAAAUGGAAGCUGCCCUUACACUCAUGAAUGAUGUGGUAUGUUACUUGUCAUCUAUUCAUUCUUUUAUGCACAAUGUUUAUAUCAAAACUAUCAUUGCGACUGUGAUCAUGAUUUACAACUUUGGUUAUACAUUUGUGUUUGCAAAAAAAGGAGUGAUGGUUUUGCUUAUUGUUUCUGUCUAAUUUAUGCACUUGAUCAGGAACUAGAAGGAUGGAAAUUGCGCGUAAGUUUGGCGCAACCAAAACGUUCAUAAGGUUGAUAGAAAUGCCGAAAAAGCUCUUAGAUGUUCAACAAUGGUGUGCCAAAGAAAUGAGAAGGGCAUGGCCAUCUAACCUACCAUGAUAAAUAUACUUGACACUAAAUUGCGUGAUUGAUGAUAUGAUAGUGUUUGUUGGUGCUGUUAGUUUUAUGAGAUUUUUUGAGUUUUUGUUUCAAAGUAUGGUGAAGAUUGGAGAUUUUAUUGUGUCUGCCAGGGUUUUGAAUAAAGGUCUGCAUAUUGGUUUUGUUAUGUUGCUGACAUUUUAACUGUACAAUGAUUGAAGCUGCAUUUGCUUGUAAUUCUCUGUAAUAUUGAAAAUUGUGAUGCGACUAUAGCUGAAUGAUUCUUUUGGAUACAAAGGGAUUUGGACUUGUGAUCCCAGCUAUAUAUGAAGUCAAAGGACUUAAUGAAAAAUUAUUAAACAUUUUAAUUAGAUAUCUGUUCGACACAAAGGGAUUUGGAAUGUGUUUCUGGAUUUGGCAUCUGAACUUUUGAUAGUGUUUGGUUGAAUGAAUGGUUUCUGCCUUUCUGGGUUUACUUGCCUGUUGUAGUUUUAUGAUUGUUAAGCGAAAAGACUAAAGUUGCUUAAUGAAAGAUUUGCAAUGCUGACUUCUGAAAGCUGUUGAUUUGUUAGUCAAAGGACAUUAUAUUAAAAUCUCAAAACACCUUAACUGGAUCCACGCAUUGCUUCAAUGUCUAAUUGCACCUCUUGUUUUAGAAUUUGAUACAUAAACGUGCUUCUGUUAUCGAACUUGGGUCAUUCAGCAACUUAGCAACAUUUCCAGUUAGGGCACAUACAGUUAAUUUCCUUUGGUUACUUUGAUUGUCAAGUAGUAUAGUAUGCUCCUAAAUCAAGUGAAUGGUGUACAAUUUUCUGAAUGGUUUUCUCACACGUUAAUGUUUUCAUUGACAAAUUAAUACAUUAUCACAUUGUUGGCUGUUAACAUUCAUCUUUCUUGCAUUUAACUGCCUCAUAAUUGCUUGACCUAGAUAUGUUGCUUGUUUAGUUUAUGAUAUUUGACGGAAAAAAUUGGUUGAGAGUUUCCACAUGGAGUUGGGUUUUUAAUGGACAGAAGCUUUAGACAGCAGCGUUUUCUAUUUGUUUCUGCACUUUCUAUCCUAUUCUUAAUUUUCCGACGACGCUUCCACGGGGUGCGAUGUAUGUACGUUUCUUUUUGCUGACAAAGGCAACUACUUUUUGUCUAGGAGCUAGAAAAUACUUAUGCACCACCUAAUUUAUCCUUUUACUGAAAAUUAAUUUAGACUAAACCAUGCCUUACUUCUAAUUGAGAUUUCUUUUUUAAAAUAACAACUAAUUCAAAAUAAUCAAUAUUUCAAUUUUUUUUAAAUAAUCACUUUUCAAAAUAGAUGUGCCAGAUGAACUGAUGCGCCAGAUGAACUGACGCAUCCAUUUUGAAACAAGAGGAGGCGCCAACAUCACUGGCGCAUGCUUCGGAAGCAUUUAAUGGUGGCGUCAAGUGAGCUGACACAUGCAUCUAGUUACAUUUGCUUGUGCCAAUGCUUCUGGCGCCUACAUGUCUUGACAUGUGUGGCGCCCAGCCCUUUGGCGCAUGCAUUUUCUUACUCAUUCUAUAAAUACCUUGCCCUUCAGUCAUAUUUUCACAACUUUUAUCCUACAACCACAUUUUCUUUCAUUCAACUUCACUCUCCUUCAAGUUUUUGAGUUUUAACCAUGUCCGAAUACAUUCACAAGCGAAAUGCCGAUUUAAUCUUUUUCGUCGUUGUGUCUCUGAUAAAGAUUCAACUUUGCAAUAUAGAUUCAUUUGAACGUCUUAAUCGGACGUUGAACAGUUGGUUAGAUGGAGAAAUUGGAGAUGGUGAAAGGAUUAUAAGAAUCCAAUGGCUUGUGUCCACGUUCGACCAAAAUGGAGAAGUGCGUGAAUGGGUGGAUAUUAAGACUGACAAAGACGUUCAUAUGAUGAUGCAUUAUAUGUUCAAAAUUAUUUUGAUGGUUGUAAUCACUUAGUUAUUGUAUUUUAAUUGUUUUAGUUGUUUGUGUUGUUGUUUAUGUAAUGGUAUUUCCUCACAAACUUAUAAUAUGAAAUAAAUUUAGUUUUUCAUAUAUUGCAUUAGAAGUACAUGUGAAUUUAUCUUAUUGUGCUCGUUCCAACACUAGGACAGUUAGUACGGUUGUGACCUGACUGACGGCAUGGACUACAUAAUAUAACCAUUUUGUUCGCCGUAUCCAUUUCGGUUCGAAUACGGGUGCUGUUUGGGCGAUCCUUUUUCUUCCUUCGCAUAACUUCGUUGUGUCAGACGAUGUCCCCUUGAUAUUCUGGCUAGUAAUCCUCUUUUGCCACUAUAGAAAAACUAAUUUUGUAAACAUUUGAUAGGAUAAUGACUUUGUAAGCGUUAGAUGAUAAGUAGGAUGAAUCCCUUCGAACCUUUGAACAUGCUGCAGUGACAUGGGAGUAGGGCGUACGAAAGGCUUGGAACUUUCCGCAGUCGCACCAACCUCUAUCUAGUUCCACUUUAUACUGUCUCAUCAGCAUGCCCUCAUUGUGAUCCAUGGACUCAAAAACAUUAUACCAACCUUUAAUACGGUCAAACACCGUGACCACGUGUGUGUUUGCUUUGACAACUUCACGUCUAAUGAAUUUCAUUGAAGCAUCACUGAACAACUGCCCAGAUUGCAACAUUAAACUCCAUUUGGAACGUCUGGUCUCAGACAACGCCCCUAGCCUGAAAUAUGUUGCCUGCACAAAAGCGGUUAUAGGUAGGUUACAGAUGCCUUUGAAGACAGAGUUCAUUGAUUCCACAAGAUUUGUUGUCAUGUGGCCCCAACGUUGACCGUUGUCGUAUGCCUAGUCCAUUUCUCCAAUGGAAUAUUAUGAAUCCAUCUUACUAGAUUUGUGUUUGACAAUCUUAUUUCUUCGCGGUAGUGUUUGAAAGAAGGUUCUGAUAAUGCAUAACCUGCUUGACAACCUUCUUCCGCAAUGUUUUAUCUUUGAUCUCCCGCAUAAAAUUCUGAGCAAUAUGUCUAAUAUAGAAGACAUGCGUCGAAGGAGGAUCUUGCCAGCCAUUAUCAAUGUUAUUAUAUGUACUGAUGAUUGAAGGGUGUCUGUCGGAGAUCAAACAUAAGUUAGGUUGAGGUGAAACGUACAAUCAGAAAUUUCUUAGGAAAAAACUCCAUCCCUCAACAUUCUCCCCUUCAACAAGGGCAAAGGAAAUUGGAAAAAUGUUGUUGUUGUCAUCUUGUGCCACUGCCAUCAGUAACGUUCCUUUGUAUUUCCCGUACAACCAUAUAUCAUCAAUUUGUAUAAUAGGUUUACAGAAAGAAAAACCUAUGAGGCAUGGUUGAUACGCCCAGAAGAGAUAGUGGAAUAUUCCAUUUCCAAUAGCAUAUGUCCCGUCUGGUGUAUACGCCGACAGCGUUUCCAACUUGACAAUAGUCCCUUGAGCAUACUGUUUAAGAGCCAACAUGUAUUUUGGAAGUUGUUUGCAAGACUCCUCCCAAUUGGCAUACACUUUUUCAACAACCUUUGUCCUAGCUAUCCAAGCAUUCCUAUAUGAUGGAGUGUAGUGGUAUUGUGCUACAAUAUGCGAGAUUAUUGUACUCACCUUUAACGAUGGAUUGUCGUCAAUGAUAGACAAUAUUUCAUCGCAUAUUAGUCUAGAGAUAAGUUUCCGAUGAUCUUGCAUUGGGUUUGUGAGCAUGCAUGUGUGAACUGGACCCAUGGAUCCAAUCUCCCAAGAACUGCUCCUCUUCCGGUACGAAGCUGACAACCUGAAAAGCCAGUGCUCAUUCGGACAAUAAAUUUUGUACCUCAAUGCGUUAGUUCUAUCAACUCUGAAAUCAGCUGAUAGUUCCAUGUGAAACUUUUUAAUGGCUUUUACACAAUCUUCUUUUGUGCAAAAUGUGUCUCUUUGUUUCAAAGAUCCUUGCAUUUGCACAUAAGGAUUGUACCAUAUAUUUGAUGAAGGUUCAUCGGAACCCAAAUUCAACCUUGUCAUGUGUUGAAGUGGGCAGUAUACAUGACUAGCUGGUAAUGACUCCCCUUCUUCAUCAACGUUCAUCAUUGAAUCAACCAAAAUCUCGGCUUCUUCUUCUUCGUCAUCUACAACAUUCACCUCAGCUUGUUCGUUAUCAUCAGUUUUACAAAACACUUGUGAUUGAUCAAUGAACUGAGACUCUUGUUGUUGUUGUGGUAAUAUAUAUAACUCUAUAUCAUUGUACCCAGAUUGUUCAUGACUGACAAAUAUAUGUUGUAACACCCUUCUAAAUACCCCAAAUAUUUAAUUAAAAAUAUUAACAUAUAACAAUCAGAGUAAUUAUGCCCCGAAUGGUGUCACACAAUCAUUUCACAACAAUCAUCCAAUAUCCUGUCAUGCUCAUUUAUUUGAUCAAAAUAAGACUCUUUUGCAUAAUUCGCAGCGGACACAAAAUAUCGACAUUCAAAUCAUGUACUACAUUACAUGUAAGGUUGAUCAACGACUNUUACAUGUAAGGUUGAUCACGACUAAAUUAAAACAUAGUCAAACAUCCCUCCCGAUGUACAUCUACCAGAGCAUGACCACUAAGGACAACACUAGACUCCAAGGACUAGCUCUACUCAACUCUGCUCGUUACCUGAAAACAUAGUGUAAGGGUGAGUUCCUCAUCGAUAAAUAAGCAUUAUAAAAUAUUAUGUCAUGUUAAGUAAUUUAUCACAUCAAUCACCCUAAUUGCAACAUACAUUCAGUAACAGCACAUCCACUCGACAUCAUGCUCAACACCAACAUACAACACAAGUAUAUCUCGUAUCAUACUCCAUAACACACAAACACACGUAUAAUAUUGGAAUACAUCCAUUCAUAUUAUACGCCAUACAUACAUUAUGCAAUGAGACUCCACACAUGCGGUACCGACUAUUCUUGAACAUAUAGUUCAAGCUCACCGAUCAACUCCAGAUACGGCUACUAAGCUACUAGUCCCACUCAUUUGAGAUCUAAUUACUCACUCACUAAUUCCUCACCAUGGAAUUAGCUACAGCCCCGAAGGCUAGACUAUGCACACUAAUCAUCUAGUAUGAAAACAUCAACAACAAAUCCACAUGAUUCACUCACUAAUUCCUCACUAUGGAAUUAGCUACAGCCCCAAAGGCUAUGCUAUGCACGCUAAUCAUCUAGCAAUGCAGCCACAACAAAUUCACAACGGACAUAAGCUCACACUCUAAGCCAUACAACAGUCCAUUCACAACACGGCAUAAUAUAUACAUUCACAUCAUUAUGCAUGCCAUCAUCAUCAUCAACACUCAUUAUUGUGUAAUUCAAUUAAAUACAGUAUUAGCACUCUCUACUAACUUUACUGCUCACAACAGCGGGAUAUAAUCCCUAUUACAUCAUGUGCCAACAUAGGCCAGCUCUCAAUUAUGUACACAAUAUUAAAUAUCCAUUUUUCCACUCUGCAACAUACGAUAUCAAUUUUUGAUGAUGACAAAGGACCAUCAUGCACGUCUACGAACAAAGAUUUGAAGGCUUUGAGUCGACCAUAGGGGUCAGCUCAAGGCUCAGGUCGGCGCAAAGGCUCUGCUCAACUGGAGGGAGUCAGCGCAAAACCCCUUGCGUCGACGCAUACAGUCGACGCUUAUCACGGGUCGGCGCAAAAAAUGCCUUGCGUCGACGCAUGCAGUCGGCGCGUGCCCCACGGUCAGCGCACGCCGACUCUAUGGUCGACCGUUCGCGCGCGACUCAGAUUUCUGAGUUAUUCCAAAGUUCCGUUAGCUUAACGCAUAUCCGGUUCCGGCCGCUUCCUCAUUAAAACCAUCUCUAAAGAAACAAUUGUCUUGUAAAUUGGUACGCCCGAUUCAGGUUUUUAAUUGGGAUCGUGCCAUAGUCUAACAUUUACGACUCACACAACUAUCGAUUCAAUUUACAGAUUUAACCAGUUUAUCCAACAUCAAUUUCAGCAUAUACAGUCCAAUUAGGGUUAAAUCAACGGCUUAUCACUACCAUUACAUAUUAUCCUAUAAUACCCAUUAAUCGACGAUAAACCCCCUUACCUGAGUUAAUCCGGCGACUCUAUAAGCUUCAGGCUCUUCCUUCUUCAACCUUCGUUCUCUGACUUUUUGCCCUUUUCCCUUUUCUGCCUCCUUUCCCUUUUCACGUGAAAGUUCUUUUCCAAAUGAGACCCUUUUCUCUUAUUUCCAACAUAUAUAUUUUUCAAAUAAUAAUAAUAAUAAUCAAAAAUAAUAAUAAAAAUUCUCAAUUAUUUAAUUAAAUUAAUAAAUAAUUUAUUAACUCAAUUUAAAUAAUUAUUUUUAUUAUUAUCGGGGUGUUACAACUCUCCCCCACUAAAAGAGUUUUCGUCCUGAAACAUACUUAAGCGAACACUCUGGGUAAGACUCCCUUCAUCUUACUUCUCAGUUCCCAAGUCGCAUUGCCACCUGCUGUCCUCCCAAGCUACCUCACCAAGGCAAUCUCUUUACCCCGCAACUCUUCACUCUCGAUCCUCGAUCCUCAUAGGUGAUGUUUCAACAGUCAGGUUAUCUCUCAACCUGUACAUCAUCUACUUGGACUACAUGCGACGAUCAUGAAUGUACUCUCAACUGAGACACAUGAAAAACUCAUGCAAUUCGCAAGUGACGGCGGUAAAGCGAUACGAUAGCUACCUCCCCUAUCCGCUCCAAAAUCUGAUAAGACCAAUAAUCGAGGUGUCAACUUCUUUCGACUUCAAAGCUCGACCAACACCAGUUAUCGGAGUACACGAGAAACACAUGAUCUCCCUCUUGAAAUUCAAGUGACUUCCUCCUCUUAUCAUGAUAACUCUUCUGACGACUCUGAGCAAUUCUCAUCUUCUCCUGAAUCAUCUUAAUCUUUUCCGUAGUCUGUUGAACAUCUCCGGUCCAACACAGCACUCUCACCGGACUCAUACCAACAUAAAGGUGUCCGACAUCUCCUACCAUACAAAGCUUCAAACGGUGCCAUACCAAUGCUCGAAUGAAAACUAUUGUUGUAGGUAAACUCAAUCAAGGUAAUAACAAUCCCCAAGCACCUCCUUUUCCAAACACAAGCUCUCAAAAGAUCCUCUAGUGACUGAAUCGUCCUCUCAGUCUGACCAUCAGUCUGCGGAUGAUAUGCAGACCUCAAUCUCAGCUUAGUUCCCAACGCCCUCUGCAAACCUUCCCAGAAUUUCGAUGUAAAUCUAGGAUCUCUGUCCGAAACAAUACUCGACGGAAUACCAUGCAAACUUACAAUUCUCUCAAUAUACAACUCGGCUAAUCUCUCUAACGGUAAUCCAUUCUGAUCGGAAUGAAAUGAGCCGACUUCGUCAAUCUAUCAACAAUCACCCAAAUAGCUUCAAAUUCUUACUUGUCCUCGGUAAACCAGAAACAAAAUCCAUACUGAUACUAUCCCAUUCCACUCUGGAAUAGCCAACGGUUGCAUUAGCCCAGACGGCUUCUGAUGCUCAAUCUUUUGACUUCUGACAAGUCAAACAGGAAUAACAAAACUCGCAAUUUCUCUUUUCAUUCCGCCACCAAAAUAACUUUUCAAAUCAUGAUACAUCUUCGUAGCUCCAGAUGAAUACUCAACCCACUACGAUGCCCUUCCUCAAGAAACUCUUCUUAAGCUCGGUAACAUCCGGAAUACACACCCGAUUACCAAAUCUCAAACACCAUUCUCAUCAACUCUGAAUUCACACCUUGCACCUUGAUUUACUAAAGUCAACUUAUCAACCCAAAAGCAAUAUCGAUUUUCUGACUCUCUCUGAUCUCAUCCGAAAAUACACUCGUAACUUCAACAUUCCAAUUUAACACUAUUGUGAGUACUCUCACACACCAAACUCAAUCUCUAAACUGCUCAAUUAAGUCAAUUCCUUAACCAUUAAACAUAGACAUGUGUAAUGAUUCCGACUCAGUGCAUCAGCCACUACGUUUGCUUACCCGGAUGUAAUUCAAACCAAUCAUAAUCCUUCAGAAAUUCUAACUCUCCUCUGUCUCAUAUUCAGCUCCUUCUGAUCAACCAAAUACUUUAAACUUUUAUGAUCACUGAAAACUUCAAAUCUGACCCGUACAAAUAUGCCUCCACAACUUCAGAAAAAUACCACAGCUGCCAACUCUAAAUCGUGCGUCGGAUAGUUCCUCUCAUGAACCUCAGCUGUCUCGAAGCAUAAGCUAUAACGCUUAUUCUGCAUCAAUACACCACCUAAACCCAACAAUGAAGCAUCACAGUAAACCUCAAAUGAUUCUGACGACCGGUAUAUCAGAAUAGGAGCAGUAGUCAACCUUCUCUUCAACUCUGGAAACCCUCUUCACAUAUUGAGUCCCAAACAAACGCUUGCCCCUUUCUAGUCAACAUUGUCAACGUAACGCCAACUUAGAAAAUCCCUCAAUGAACUUCCUAUAAUAACCAGCCAAUCCAAGAAAACUUCGAAUCUCAGCCACAGACUUAGGAGCUUCCCACUUGCUACCGCUUCUAUCUAGAAGGAUCACACAACACCACCUCUUGAAAUCACAUGACAAGAAAACUAACCUCUUCUAACCAAAUUCGCACUUAGACAGUUUACAAAUAUUCUUUUCUCGUAGAACUUCUAAAACCACUCUCAAAUGCUCAGCAUGUCUUCUUCAGAUUUCAAUACACCAAAAUGUCAUCAAUACACCACAAACAAACUGAUCUAGGUACGGAUGAAAAUCCUAUUCAUAUACUCCAUAAAUACUCCAGGCGCAUUAGUCACACCAAAGGCAUUACAAAUACUCAUAAUGUCCAUACCUUGUUCUGAAAGCGUCUUUUGAAUAUCCUCAGUUUUCACACGUAUCUGAUGAUACCCAGAUCUCAAAUCUAUCUUGCUGAACACACUCGCACCAACCAACUGAUCCAUCAAAUCAUCAAUCCUCGGCAAAGGAUACCGAUUCUUGAUCGUCACUUUAUUCGUUGCCUGUAGUCCACACACAACCUCAUAGUACCUUCUUUCUUCUUAACCAAUAACACUGGUGCAGCCCACGGUGACACACUCGGACGAAUAAAUUUCUUGUCCAACAGAUCUUCCAACUGACUCUUCAAUUCAGCUAACUCAACAGCAGACAUACGAUACGGAGCCAUCGAUAUCGGUCUAGUACCAGGUACCAAAUCAAUCGAGAACUCAACUUCACGUUCUGGCGUAAUUCAUUCACUUCUUCUGGAAACACAUCAGGAAAAUCACACACACACGGCUAGAUCGCAAUCACCAGUUUAUCUUUAGCCUCCAAAGUCGCUAACACAAAACAACUCUGCCCAUCUGCUACUUCGCUCGUUCACCUGCCUAGCUGAUAGAAACAAAUCCUUUCUUCCUCACCUCAGGAAAUAUCACAGUCUUAUCAAACAAUGAUAGAAACUCGGUUAAACACCAACCAGUUCAUACCAAGAUAACAUCGAUCUGCACUAAUGGAAGACACACAGGUCUAUCCAAAUCUCUACCAAAAUACUCAAAGACAACUCAAGCAAACUGAAGUAGUGGUCACUGAACCCUUUGCAGGAGUAUCAAUCACCAUACUACCAUACAUCUCAGAUAUCUCUAACUUAAGUUUCACAGCACAAUCCAAGGAUAUGAAAGAAUGAGUAGCCCCGGUGUCAAUAAUAGCUACAAGAGGAAAGCAAUUAAUAUAACACGUACCUCGGAUCAAACGAUCAUCUGCAGAAGUCUCAGAACCCGAUAAAGCAAAGACCUUGCCUCCUGACUGAUUCUCUUUCUUCGGCUUAGGACACUGUGGACUGAUAUGACCCAACUCUCCACAGUUGAACACAAGUGACAGUCUUCAACCGGCACUCUGCAGCCAAGUGACCACCCUUGCCACACUUGAAACACUUCAUCCUCAAGCACUGGUACACUCAUGAACACGAUGUCCAGCCCGACCACAUCUAUAAACAACUUAACAUGAGCACUAGAGUCUCCCCACUAGGCCUCUUAAUCCCACUCUGCUUCUGGAACCCUUUGCCAGCUGCAUAUGGUUUCCACGGUCAUUCUGAUUCUUGCCUUCCUAUCAACCCUCUGCUGAUAGCUCUCUGCUCUGGCUUUGGAAUCCUGUUCAAAAAUCCUGCAACAGUCAACCAAGUCAGAAACACUCUGAUCCGCUGAUAUCCAAUGCCUGCUUGAUCUCGGGACGUAACCCGUUCUCAAACUUCACACAUUUUGAAAAUUCUCCAGCAGCCUCAUUAUAGGGAGUGUAAUACUUCGACAGCUCGGUGAACUUAGCAGCAUACUCAGUAACAGACCUGUUACCUUGCUUCAAUUCCAAGAAUUCUAUCUCUUUCUUUCCUCUGACAUCCUCUGGAAAGUACUUCCUCAGGAAUCUCUCUCUGAACACAAGCCCAAGAGAUCUCAGCAUUCCCAGCAGAUUCCCAACUCAGUGGCGGGUAGCAACCCACCAAUCAUCCGCUUCUUCUGACAGCAUAUGUGUACCGAACCUGACCUUCUGGUUAUCAGCACACUCAGUCACUCGGAAGAUUCUCUCGAUCUCCUUCAACCACUUCUGAGCACCAUCUGGAUCGUAUGCUCCCUUGAACAUUGGAGGAUUGUUCUUCUGGAACUCACUCAAUUGACGAGCAGCUCCAUUCCCACAACAUUGGUUUCCUCCAAGUACUCCAGCUAGCAUACCCAGGGCCUCAGCAAUUGCAGGCAUCAUCUCUACCUCUUCCAGCCAUCUCUAUUCUGAAACCCAAACAAGCUAAACAAUAAGUACUGAUAGGGUUAACAACGCCUAUCCGUACAGGGAAAUUAGAAUAGUUACGACUCGACACGACCGACUAUGCUCUGAUACCACUAAUGUAACACCCUUUAAAUACCCCAAAUAUUUAAUUAAAAAAUUAACAUAUAACAAUCAGAGUAAUUAUGCCCGAAGGGUGUCACACAAUCAUUUCACACACAUCAUCCAAUAUCCUGUCAUGCUCAUUUAUUUGAUCAAAAUAAGACUCUUUUGCAUAAUUCGCAGCGGACACAAAAUAUCGACCUUCAAAUCAUGUACUACAUUACAUGUAAGGUUGAUCAACGACUAAAUUAAAACAUAGUCAAACAUCCCCUCCCGAUGUUACAUCUACCAAGAGCAUGACCACUAAGGACAAACACUAGACUCCAGGACUAGCUUCUACUCAACUCUGCUCGUUACCUGAAAACAUAGUUGUAAGGGUGAGUUCCUCAAUCGAUAAAUAAGCAUUAAAAAUAUUAUGUCAUGUUAAGUAAUUUUAUCACAUCAAUCACCCUAAUUGCAACAUACAUUCAGUAACAGCACAUCCACUCAACAUCAUGCUCAACACCAACAUACAACACAAGUAUAAUCUCGUAUCAUACUCCAUACAAACAAACACACGUAUAAUAUUGGAAUACAUCCAUUCAUAUUAUACGCCAUACACAUUAUGCAAUGAGACUCCACACAUGCGGUACCGACUAUUCUUGAACAUAUAGUUCAAGCUCACCGAUCAACUCCAGAUACGGCUACUAAGCUCACUAGUCCCACUCAUUUGAGAUCUAAUGACUCACUACUAAUUCCUCACCAUGGGAAUUAGCUACACCCCCGAAGGCUAGACUAUGCACACUAAUCAUCUAGUAUGCAAACAUCAACAACAAAUCCACAUUGAUUCACUCACUAAUUCCUCACUAUGGAAUUAGCUACAGCCCCAAGGCUAUGCUAUGCACGCUAAUCAUCUAGCAAUGCAGCACCAACAACAAUUCAACAACGGACAUAAGCUCACACUCUAAGCCAUAAACAGUCCAUUCACACACAGGCAUAAUAUAUACAUUCACAUCAUUAUGCAUGCCAUCAUACAUCAUCAACACAUCAUUAUUGUGUAAUUCAAUUAAAUACAGUAUUAGCACUCUCUACUAAUACUUAUACUGCUCACAACAGCGGGAUAUAAUCCCUAUUACAUCAUGUGCCAACAUAGGCCAGCUCUCAAUUAUUGUACACAAUAUUAAAAUAUCCAUUUUUUCCACUCUGCAACAUACGAUAUCAAUUUUUUGAUGAUGACAAAGGACCAUCAUGCACGUCUACGAACAAAGAUUGAAGGCUUUGAGUCGACCAUAGGGUCAGCUCAAAGCUCGCAGGUCGGCGCAAAGGCUCUGCUCAACUGGAGGGAGUCAGCGCAAAAACCCUUGCGUCGACGCAUACAGUCGACGCUUAAAACUCUUUUCAAAUAAUAAUAAUAAUAAUCCAAAAAUAAUAAUAAUAAAAUUCUCAAUUAUUUAAUUAAAUUAAUAAAUAAUUUAUUAACUCAAUUUAAAUAAUUAUUUUAUUAUUAUCGGGGUGUUACACUGAACAUCGUCAUCAUCUUGAAUCUUCUUCUAAUAAAACUUCACCUGGUUUUCUGCAAGCCAAACCGAAUUUUUAUAGAUGAUUUGGUCCACAAGACUACACUACAAUUUCUUUUCUAUUCUUUGUUUUAGAUGUGAAAAAUUUGAUCCUCGAUUUAUUGUAAACCGAGUUGCCUCUGUGUUGCGAAAACAAAAACCAAAUAAUUGAUGCUCAAAUAUUUCACCUUCGGUAUGGGCACUGAUCAUGUAAUGUUGUGCGGAAGACAUUUUUUUAAAUCUAACUUUAAUAUUUCUUUUGAUCUGUAUGGGUACUGAAGGUGAAUGCAUUGAAAUGUUAUUCACAUGCAAUUAAAUAGGGUAAACAUUAAAUGCAUUGGUCACGCAAUUCAUCUACACAGACAAGACAAUGCAAUGAAAAGAAUCCAUGCAGAGACAAGAUAAUACAAUGCAUGCGCCUGGUAGAAUCUCUGCAUACACAAAGCAAGGACCUACACACAAGGAAUCUCACAAGAAUCUCUUCCAUAAUAGUCCAAAGUAGGCGCCCAUUCCCUAGGCGCAUAAAGCAACCUAUGCACCAAUAGCAUGAGCGCUUAUUCAUUGCAUGGUAAAAUUCAUAUGCAUGUGCCACUAGUCUUGGCGUAUGUGACCUUGCAUGUAAUUGCAUGCAUGCGCCUAAGGCUAUGAUGCCUCCUACAUGCAUGCACCUAAGGCUUAAGCACCUCCUCUACUAUGCCAUGCAUGCAUCCAAUCACAUGAUGCGUAGGUUGCAAACCUAGUAAAGACUUCCUCAUCUAUAAAUAGGGCAUUAAUUCACAACAUCUCAUCAUCUGUAACACUAUCAUUCAAUCUCUGCAACACUUUAUGUUUACCACACUCAACCUAUGCAACACUCUAUCUUUACCAUAUUUGGGUCUUGAUCAUCAAGUUAACCAUGAUGAUGCUACCGUUUGGACAGCAAAGACACCAAUUAUCUGGUUCACUAUUGUGGAGAUGCACCAGAGUGACCGGGUAAAACUGCAGUUCAGCAUGCAGCAACAGAUUCCAGAAUCUCCGAUGUGUUUGGGAGAUUGGCAUCAAAAAAGAGUUGAUGCCCAAUGAGAUUAUUCCGACUGAAGAGACUUUGCAAAAGAGAUGUGUCGCCAUUGGAGGAAUCAACGACAAUACAUCUUAAACGAACCAGUCAUACAUGGUGCAAGAUCAACUCAACAAUGUAUGACAUGGUUUAGGUCGGUAACAACGCAACAAUUUGUGUCUGAGCCACAAUAUUUGAUUGAUCCAUGCCAACUAGCUUCGUCAUCAUAAGCCCAACAAGUCCCCAUCCAACACCAAUGCCAAACAACUCAAACCUAACAACCAACCUCACACCAUCAACCUACCACAUACACCCAACAACCAAACACCCAACUUCACAACCCAUUCAUGCCACCCACCCAACAACUAAACACCCAACCUCGCAAUCCAUUCAUGCCACCCACACAACCACAAAACCAAGAAUCAAACCAUACUCACCAACAACCAUACGCAUCAACCAUAACCGUCUAUAGUCCAAAUGAUUCAUAUGGGUCACUUCAUCGUAGUCCCCCACCAAUGACCAUCCAAACAUCCCAUCACCAAAACAAACAACCAUUGUUUAACUAUAGUACACCCCAGGAACCAUUGCUUCGUUUCCAAAAUGAUUCAAUGUCCUAAUUCGAGCAACUAUACCGUCCAUAAUUCACCUAACCACAUCGACCCAACUACGACAACAUGGACAUUGAACUACAUUACAGAAGCGUCGUUGGCCAGUGCCCUAGUUAUUGGGAACAAAUGAUGACACAUCUAUCAAAUACCGCUGGAACUUCCACUGGACCUUCACACCAGCCAUCGUUGGAUCAGGUAAGCACGCAAAGACCCCAAACACCUCAGGAAAAUCGUCGGAGACCUCGAAGACAAGCUAACGCACCUGGAUGUGGAACAGGGGGACUUUUCGAUCGGGUCGGUCAUUAAAUUUUUAUCAAUCCCAUGUAACUUUUAUUAUAUCAUGAAUAAUUUUUUUUAAUAUUAUAUUUCAUUAUUUAUUAAAAUAAAAAAAUUAAAAAAAAUAAUACAAAGGUGUAUGCACCAGAUGAAUUGGCGCAUACACUAAAGCCCAAACAUAUGCGCCAGCUCACUUGGUGCCACCAUUAAAUGCUUCUAAAGCAUGCGCCAGUGAUGUUGGCACCUUCUCUUGAUUCAAAAUGGAUGCGCCAGUUCACCUGACGCAUCUGUUUUGAAAGGUGGUUAUUUUGGAUUUUUUUUGAAAUAUUGGUUAUUUUGGAUUUUUUUUUAAAUAGUGGUUAUUUUUAUAAAAAAAUUUGUAAUUGAGUAAUAUAAAUAUUUAGGCCAAUGAAAACAACUCAUAUUACCAAGUGGCAUAACAAAUGUUGCUUGUUUUCAUUAAUUUUUUUUUCAAACCUCUCAUGUUCUCUGUCUCACGACACUUUCUCUCUCCCAUCUCAACUUCAAUUCUCACUUUCUCUCUUUCUCUCUAUUAUCCUCUCUUUUCCCUUGAAACCCUAGUGUCGCCGCCUCUUUCUCAACUCUAUCUCCGACUAUCACUUCCUUUAAUGAAAAUACCAAAUCCAUAUUUGUAUUCACGACUAUAAAAUAGAUCUUUCGUAACACUAAUUUUAUAACGGUCAUAGUGUUAAUCGUGGUAAUAGUUCAUUUCUGUGCACUAUUUUCUUCACCAUGAUUUUUAUUACCAAUAGUGAUGAAAGCUGAUACUUAUUUAUACAUAAGAGAAAUUAUCUCUCGCUUUAGUAUAUAACAAGUAUCUAUCUCAAAACAUAACCCUAGCAACUAUUUCACUCGUCUCUCUUCAAACGAAACCCUAACAACUCUAUCCCUCGUCUCUCUCAUAUGGAAACCCCAAAACAAAACCAUAACAUCAAAUCUUAACUAAUGGGUAUUUACAUUUUCGUUUUCUCUAUAGCUUUUAUUCAUAAUCUGUUUCAAUAGCUUGUUUCAUGAAGUAUGAACUUUCUUCUUGUUUUGAAUUAUAGACAGAGAUGCUUGUUUCAAUAAAGAGGACGGAGUUAAAGUUAACGUUACAAACUCAUAGGUAGAGACGUUAAUUUUGUUGCUCUAACUUUAGCUUCAUCCUUAUUUCAUUGUGGACACGCCAUUAUGAGAUCUGUAUGGUACAUUUCUGAAGCAUUGCAUGACUUAAUUUGUUGUAUUUGUUGUUUAUAGUUUAUUGUUGAUGAAUGUUGUUGUUAAUGUUUGUUUAAAAGAUGACUUUAUUAUAUAUUAUGUGGUUUGAGUGUUUUUCCAAUCCCUUAUCGAAUAUAUAACUUUUCAAACUGCAUCAGCAAAUUAUAAUAUGAUAAAUAAAGUUGUAUUAAAAAACAAGUACACGUUCAAUUCUUGACAAGAAUUCUUCACAACAUUAACUGUGUGUUGUUCUUGGACAGUUAGAACCUGGUUUAAUGAUUGUAGGUCUUCAACUGCCUCUCUCUCCACCUCUAAUAUUGUUUGUAGAUAAUAUUUUACAAAAAUAACUAGAGGUGAAGGCGGGGUUGGUUGAAGAACUACAAUCACUAAAUCAAGUUCUGACUAUUAAAGAGAAAAAUGCAGAUAAGGAGUUGAAGAUAUCUUCUCAAGCAUUGAACGUAAACUUGUUCCUCUAAUAUAACUUAAUUUGUCAUAUUAUAAUGUUCUAGUGCAGACUGAAAGGUUAUAUGUUUAAUGAGAAUUGACGAAAUAAGCAUUCUACAUAAUUUAUAAUAAACCCAAGUCUAUAUAUCACAACAAUUGUUUAGGACAACCAUUGUUAAAUAUGUUGCAUUAAAGGAUAUCACAACAUUUAUUUAAAGUAACCGUUGUAGUAGGUAACAUGCUACGUAGAUACAAUCAUGGUCGCAUGUCCAUGGUGGAAAAUAUCAUGCAUACAAUUAUACAUUAUCUCACAACAGUUGGUCCGACGUGGUGGUAUUCGUUUUACAACUGUUAUGAUAUGUGUUUUUCGUAAUAGUGAUUCCUCAUCUCAGAGGCUUUCUAAUGAACCGGCUGGACUUUUGUUUCGAGCGAUCUCGCUGUCGACCACUGUUUGUUCUCCGACCGCUGUUUAUUCGCGAGCAAGUGACCAUUAUGCUUUACGGAUGUUUCUGAGGAAGAUUGUGUGUUUCUAUAGCUUUUGAAAUGAAAAUUUUAAGACGAAUUUUUAUGUGUUUGUUCCUGAGAUUCUUUAACUACACAUGGUUUUAAAGUGAUGUAAUUUUCAGUUUCCCUCUUCCUUGCAAUGUUCUAAAUGUUUGUACUUGCUUAUCCUCUGUUUGACUGGAUCAAACUAUAAAUUAAUAUAUUUUUUUGUCAAUUACUGUUCAUGAAUGUUAUAAUAAUUUGAUCUCUCCAUAUGGCUUUAUUGAUUAUGUUGUGUCCAUCAGGUAACAUAUCAAUUUUUUUUGCAUUAGAAGAAAGGAACUCCAUUUGUGGAUGAUCAGGGGAUCUACAACAGAUUAACAUGGUGGGAGCAGGUCGACAACAGACAACAACUCACUUGUAACAAGAAGUUUUUGACAGUUGUUCCUUUGAUUAUGUAAGUUCUCCUCUAUUUUCAUGCAUGCGUUUAUUUUAAGCGGUGUUUGUUCCUGUUGAUAUCACAUGGUUUCAGUCGUGUUAUAUAAACAACAAUUGGCGUGCACUAAUUAAUGUAGUGUCUACUCUAAUGCAUACAAAUUUGUUUGUGUUUUCUUGUGUAUCUCAUUUAAUUUUUACAAGUAUUUUGGGACUGAUAGCAUUAACUAGAGCAAGGUGUGUACUUCUUUUACUGUUCAAAAAUUGAUGUGAAUUUGAAAGAGUCAUCCAAUUAAUUAAUGGAAGUUAAUUAGGUGGAAAUUAAUUAAUUAAUAUUAAUUAAUAUUUAUAAGGUGUCACUCAUCAAAACCUAGUUUUAACCUAGUUUUGACUAAGUGACUCCCUCCCACUAUUUUCUCUCCACUCAGUUGAAUCUUUUACCCAUAAAUAGGGUUCCUCGGUCCAGUUGCAGUUUGCUCCAGAUUUCUGAAUUUUUAGAAUCUCUUUUCUCCCUCUUUAUUCUCUUCAUCUCAAAUUAUUUCUAUUCUUCUUUAUUUUUCGACUGGCCUAUUGUGCCAUCAAUGACUGAAUUUUUUUCCAGAUACGACGAGUGGUUUAAAUACCAUAUGAAGGUGUAUUUCUUUGAACGAUUUACUACAGUGCAAGUGAUAAUCGUAAAAUUGAACGAGCUAUUUUAUCCUGGAGACAUCGUCGAAACUCGACUGCAUUGCAUAAUUAUUGGCAGUACGGGGAAACGUCUUAAAGAAAGCGACCUAGUACGCGACUCGUUCCGAUAAUUUUCUUUGUGGAAUAUUUUUCAAAACUGAAAACAACAAUUUUAAGACAUUGCUUUAAUUGUCAUGGCUACUGAGGAAAUUAUCGGUACUACUGCGGGUGCUGCUGUCUCUGACAAACCACUCAAGUUUGAGGGUUUUCACUUCAAACGUUGGCAAGCUAAGAUGAAAAUUUUCUUAACUUUAAAGAAGAUUGCCCACAUUCUGACUGAGGAUAUUCCUGUUGCUCCUUUUAGGUCACCCGAACAAACUAAUGGUAAGAAUUCUGCAGAUUCAGAUGGAAUUUCUAAACCUGGUGAAUCUGCGAGUAAUUUACAGCUCAGGAAAGAAAUUGGCUUAUGGCAUGAGAGUGACUAUCUCUGCAAAAAUCACAUUUUGAACAGUCUUGCUGAUGAUCUGUUUGAUUACUAUAGUAAUUGUAAGACUGGUAAACAGGUAUGGGAAGCUCUGCAGAAGAAAUAUGAUACUGAAGAAGCAGGUGCAAAGAAAUAUGCUAUCAGCCGCUACUUGAACUAUAAGAUGGUAGAUGAAAGGUCUGUGGAAGCUCAAAGCCACGAAAUUUAAAAAAUUGCUCAUGAAAUCAUAACUAAAGGUAUGCCCAUCGAUGAACAAUUUCAAAUUGCUGUUAUAAUUGACAAACUGCCCCCUGGUUGGAAACAUUUCAAAAUUUUGCUUCGGAAGAAAACAAAAGAGUUUUCAAUCGAGAGUCUGAUCACUCGCCUUCUAAUUGAAUAGGAAACUAGGAGACAAGAUCAGAAAGAUGAAGUCUUAGUUGUUUCUAAUAACUAUAAGAGAUUCAGUGUGGUUUUGAAGCCUGUGGGCAAACCAUUAAAGAAUCAGAACCACAAUGACGUGAACCGAAUUAAGAAUGAGAAUCCCUCAAGGGCCUCAUAUGCUUUGAUUGCUAGACAACAACAACCACCACAGAGAAAUGACGCUCCGAUCUUCACUUGUUUUAAUUAUGGAAAACCGGGUCAUAUGGCUAAGAAAUGUAAGAGCAGGCCUAAAUCUGUUGGCUCUAACGCACAAGUUAACGUGACUGAUAAGCAAUUCAUUGUUAUGAUCACCGAAAUUAACAUGGUUGGUGGAAGUGAUGGUUGGUGGAUAGACACUGGCGCCUCAUGUCAUGUAUGUUAUUAUCGUGUUAUGUUCAAGACAUACACGAAUGAUGAAGAUAAGAAAGUGUUGUUGGGAGAUGCUCACACCACUAAUGUUGAUGGAAUUGGAGAUGUUGAGUUGAACUUCACCUCAGGAAAGACUUUGAUCUUGAAGGACGUCAUGCAUGUUCCUGAAAUUAGGAAGAAUCUUGUUUCUGGUUUUCUUUUAAAUAAGGCGGGGUUUACUCAGUCUAUUGGGGCAUAUUUGUACACUAUCACUAAGAAUUAUAUUUUUGUUGGGAAAGGGUAUGCCAAUUAUGGCAUGUUUAAGUUGAAUGUUAAAUUGAAUAAAAUUGCUCCUUAUGUUUACUCUCUGUGUGAUUUUAAUAUUUGGCAUGCUAGACUUUGUCAUGUUAAUAAGCGAGUUAUUUCUAAUGCAUGCAACUUAGGCCUAAUCCCUAAAUUAAAUGUCAAUGAUUCAAAUAAAUGUGAAUAUUGUAGUCAAGGUAAAAUAACUAAGACUUCGCAUAAAUCAAUCAUUAAAGAGUCUGUUCCCCUAGAUCUUAUACACUCUGAUAUAUGUGAGUUAGAUGGAACUUUAAUAAGAAAUAGUAAACGUUAUUUUAUCACCUUUAUUGACGAUUGUUCUGAUUAUACUUAUGUGUACUUAAUGAAGAAUAAAAGUGAAGCGCUUGACAUGUUGAAGAUGUAUGUAACUGAAAUUGAGAAUAAACUUAGUAAGAAGAUUAAGAGACUUCGUAGUGAUAGGGGAACUGAAUACGAUUAUGGGUUAUGUAAUGAUUUUUAUAGUAAGCAUGGAAUUAUACAUGAAACAACUGCUCCUUAUUCUCUCUGCUGCCAACUUUAUGUCCACUGUUGAGCAAUUCGUUGAUGUUGAGGACAACUCGUUUUAUCAGUGGAAUCAACCUAUGGUACAACAAGCCUUAUCUCAGAUUAUUAUCACAACAACAAUUUCAGUCUCAAUUAAACUAAUUCAAAUUCUAACAUUUCUACAUCUCAUUAACAAAUCUUACUAACAACCCAACUCUAAUUAUAAUCCUACACUAACAUUCACUAAUCAAACUAACUAUUGUUCAUACUGAUUUUAAAACAAACUAUUUUAACAGUAACCACAACCUUGCAUUCAAAAACCUAAAUAACUAAUCAUUUUAGCUACUAACAGUCAAUAGCCAAUCUAACCAAAUGCUAACAACAUAACUCAGUCCAAUCUCUAUAACUAAUUGAAAUUGCAAAGUAUAGCACAUUAAUAAUUUAAUUGAUUGAUCAAAAACAAGUCAUUCUAACUCAUAAUAGAUUUGGUUGAGUUUCAUUAAUAGUUCAACACAUCUCUAACUACAGUAUAACUGGAAUUAGCAGAGAUUGAAUUUAAGACAUUCAAAAAUCCAAAGCUAACAAAAUUUCUAACUGUUUGCUAACUUUCAACAAACUUACACUUAGAGAAUCUAACAGAGCUAACUUGCCCUAACGGAUGCCCCAAGCUGCCCUAUUUUGUUACAGAUUAAAACCCUAUAAAGUCAAUCAUCAUCAAUCAUUGAGGGGAUCAAUCAUUACACACAAAAUCAUCACCAUCAAUCACUAAUUUCUCAUUCUCAUUGAAUCAUCUCCCUGCAAUUUCACUUUCAUCUCUCAACCACUCUUCAACCACACACGUGCACAAUAACAACAAAGGCAGCGCAACACAAAUUCAGACUCCUACAGUCUAAAGGAGGAGGAAGAAGAAGAAGCUUGCGUAAAGAAAGUAACAAUUCGAGCUUACCAAAAUCUCCGGUAUUUUCCUUCAUCGUCUUCACCAUCGAUUUCCAACAAAUUUCGGGGUGGUAUACGCCUCGCAAGUAGGUGCUCCGAUUUCUUCUUGCUCUUUCCUUAAAUUCAGUUACCAACAUGUAGAGUCAUACAUGAGGAAUCAAAGCCCUAAGGUGUUAGGCUUUACUUACUCAUCCGUCCAAUUUAAUUUUGGAAUUGGUAUUUAGGGUUCAUAUAAAAUCUGAUUCGGUCUGAAUGCUAGAUUAGAAAUCAAAAGGAAUUAACAUGAUAGAAUGAAAGAGUAUGAUAUGAAUGUUACAUUGAUGUGUGGUUCUUGGUAUUUUUACCUUCGCCGCCGCCAGAGGCGAUUUCCAGUGCAAUGGAGUUAUUCUCCGGCCAAGACAUGUUUGAGAGGGAGACAUUUGAAAUUAAACGAGUGAAUAGAUGAUGCUGAAACCCCCUCUUAUUUGGUCUCCCGGUUGGGCUUGUUUGGGCCUCUAACCCAUACAAUUGCUAUGAUGCACCCCCACGCUAAUUGCACACAUUCUGUUUGGCUAGCUUCAUAAAGCUUUAGGCUUUUGAAGCAAGCCCAAACUUUUUUCCUCACUAUGGAUACGGGAUGAAUGAACCAUUGUUCAAAUUAUUCACCCCCACUCAUAAACUUUAUUACAAUUCAAAUCGAAUAACUAUCAAAUCUUCUUCAACACGCAACAUCUCAACAAUGCAACAGUGCUUCAUCAACACUUCCUCUUUAGACCAAACACAAUCUCUUUUGGCAUCCAUAUAUUAUUUGCGUUAGUCACAUCAUGGUUAAACACUCAUCUAUGAACCAAAAACCCUUUUCUUUCUUGUUUUCCAUGUUAGCCUCAUGCUUUGGCAAACCCUCUUUCCUUUCAUACUUGCCUUGUUAGUCUCAUGCUUUGGCAAACCAUUUAUGCAUGUUUUCUAGGUUAAUCCCAUGCUUUUGACAAACCCUUUUCUGUCCUUGUUUGCAUUGUUAGUCUCAUGCUUUGGCAAACCUAUUUCCUUUCAUGUCUGUCUUGUUAGUCUGAUGCUUAGGGAAGCAACACUCUUUCAUUACAAACAACACCUUCAAUUCCAACAACCCUCUCUCUUUUAAUUCAGUCGAGCAACUCUUUCUUUUCUUUUAGCACUUAAACCUUUUUCAAAAUAACUCUUCUUUUCACAAAAGAACUGUUAUAAUCCAAUUCUUAGCAAUCAGACUAAAAGAUUGGAGCAUCUGAACAAGGAUCAAGUCAGCUAACAUCUAUACACCUCUAAAAUACGAUUAUAAAUGUUCCCUAAAAACAAUCAACACAUCCGUAUUUUCUAUCACGAACUACGGAGCUUUGAUUUUCUCAUUGCACUAUGAGAAUACGUAGGCAUGAGGGUUCGAAUCCUUGGUGAGCACACUAAUUAUAACAUUUUUUCCAUUCUCAAGUAAUCUUUAGAUGGUAACACUCAUCUAUGCAAAUAACAAUCAAAAUGGUUCUCGUUGAGUACAAUGGAUGUGAGGGAUGUUAAUACAUUCCCUUUGCAAAACCGACUUCCUUACCCUGUUUCUUUUUCCUUGGGUUUCAAUGAUAUUUUCUCAUUCCUUCAGGAAUAAAUAAAGUUUGGUGGAGCCUCUGUUGUAUCUUCGAGCGUGCGAUGCGCUCAGAUAUUUUUUGCGACGCGACAAGCGGGUUGAGAUUAUUCUUAAGGUCUAUAAAAAGUGUAUUUUUGUAUGUAGUUGUGUUUCAAUAAAGUUACACUGGAUGUAUGCUUAUAUGCAUAUGGAUUGUUGUAUUAUGGUUUUCUAACAUGAAUUUAGUUGUUGCUUUUGAGAGGUUUUGUAGAAUCCAUGGCUUACUGAGUACAUAUAAGAAUUGUGAUGGUUUGCAUUAAUGUUUAUAUAACUGGCAUUUAUUGCUUUUUUAUGGUGAGGAAAUUCGAGCUUGAUGUAUUUGAGGAUGAAGGAAAUGAUAGUGUUGAAUGGAAUUGAAUUGCAGGAAUGGAAUGGAAUGGAAGAAUACAUAGCAACAAGAGAUGAAUCAAUUGAAUAUGCUUUUAUGUUUUUGUCUCACAUCGAAUUUUUAACUAAUACUACAAGUGUUUAUAUAUCUCAUAUUUACAUGAUAUGUUCAAGUGGUAUUGGAGUGGUACUGUAAGUAAAUGGGCUUAGGCCUAAAAAUUUCUUUCAAAUAUUUUAAUGAACUAAUUAAAAAAAAUAAUUAAUAUUAUUAAAUAUUAAUUUAGUUAAAAACAUUAUUAAAUAUUAAUUUAGUUAAAAACAUAUUAAUUAAUAAAAUAUCUUCAAAAUCAUUACUACCACGUAUGCAAAAGUGGAGGGGGGUCAAAAAACUCCAAAGACCUUCAAAAUUAAGGGAUCAAAAUCGUUGAUUUUGUAAUAGGGGAACCAAUUGUUUAAAACGCCCAAACUAGGGAGACCAAAAGUUUAUUUAAGCAACACAAAAACUUAUCCACGAUUAACAUAACUAAAGCAAUGUGUGUCAUUAUAUAUUGAAUUACAUUCUUGUUUAACAAGUUCAUUCUUCUGUCUUUCCAUAUCAUUUUGUAUUCAAUCCACCAGUUUCACAAGUUCAAAAAUAAUGUGUGUCAUUAUGUAUUGAAAUACAUUAUUGUUUGACAAGUGCAAUCUUUUGUUUUUCCAUUUCAUUCUAUAUCCAAUUACAAUCUUGAAGUAUUCAAUAAACAAUACGUGUUCAUUGGAAAACAAUGACCCUAAGAAAGAGAUAAAGGCAAACCCGAGUUUAAUGAUUCACACCUUCAUUCUCAUCAUCUUAUGUUUCCCAAAUAAAACUAACGUGUGCUUCAAGAACAUAGCUAAAAAGGACGUUACACAUUAUCUUUUAUUGCCGGAAAACAUAUUAUCUUGGACAAACCAUAAGAUAAAACCAUUGUUUCUGUUUAUAGAAAAUUCUAGAGAGUGAAUGAGUCUCAAUCCACCAGUUUCACAAGUUCAAAAACAAUAUGUGUCAUUAUGUAUUCAAAUACAUUAUUGUUUGACAUGUACAAUAUAUUUUUUUCCAUCUCAUUCUAUAUUCAGUUACAAUCUUAAAGUAUUCAAUAAACAAUAUGUGACCAUUAGAAAAUAAUGACCCUAAGAAAGAGAGAAAGGCAAACCUGAGUUUAAUGAUUUCCACCUUCAUUCUAAUCGUCUUCUCUUUCCUGAAUACUACUAACAUAUGUUGCAAGAACAGAGAUGAAAAGGACGUUACACGUUAUCUUUUAUUGCUGGAAAACAUGUUAUCUUGCACAGACCAUAAGACAAAACCAUUGUUCCUGUUUAUAGAUAAUUAUAGAGAGUGAAUAGGUCUCAAUCCACCAUUUUCACAAGUUCAAAAAUAAUACGUGUCAUUAUGUAUUGAAAUACAUUAUUGUUUGACUGGCACAAUCUUUUGUUUUUCCAUGUCAUUCUAUAUUCAAUUACAAUCUUAAAGUAAUCAAUAAAUAAUAUGUAUCAUUAUGUAUUGAAAUAUAUUAUUGUUUGACAUGUACAAUAUUUCGUUUUUCCAUGUCAUUCUAUAUCCAAUUACAAUCUUGAAGUAUUCAAUAAACAAUAUGUGUCAUUUGGAAACAAUGACCCUAAGAAAGAGAGAAAGACAAACCUGAGUUUAAUUAUUUUCACCUUCAAUCUUGUCAUCUUCUAUUUCCCAAAGAAUACUAACAUAUGUUGCAAGAACAUAGCUGAAAAGGACGUUACAUGUUAUCUUUUAUUGCUGGAAAACUCAACAUUUUACAGGUUUUAAGACAAUAUUCCAGUUUCUUCCAUAACAGAUGGAAGUGUUGUUACUUGUUUUGAGGUUGCACGUUCAAAAUAUCCCGGAAAUCUAUCUUUGUCACGAUGAUUCUCCCACACCAGUUUCACAUAUGGUAUCAAGAUUUCAUCAUCAUUAGGACCAACCUGACAAAAAGAGUACUCCUACAUCUUGAAUUUCUCAUUGGCCCUAUCAAUAGAUGUCAAAUAUUUGAAUUCGAAGUCAACGUUACAGACAAAACAAUAAAAAACACCAUACUUGUCCAAAUGAUUCUAAAAGUGUUUAUCAAAAUAAUACAUCUCAAAACCUAAGAUUUGGAUAUAUUCUCAUAGAAUCAAAGUAUAUUCAAAUUCAACUGAAACCUAAAAAAACAAAUCCAACUUCACCACCAUCAAAUCUAAGUCCUAAACUAAAUCACCAUUAUUAUCAGAUCCAAUUUCACCAUCAUCAACUCCAAUUCAUGAUAAAGCAGCACAAGCUUCACACAUAUACUAUCUUCAUCCAUUUCAUGUCUAAAAACGAUUUCAAACAACCAAACACGAAAUGAAGAAGACUCGAUAAAUUAUCAGUUAAUUGAUGAUUUUAAGUAAUGGAAAUGACAAGAUGCUAGAUCGGGAUGAAGGAAAUGAAGUCGUUCUACAAGUCGGAAAAAAAUCGACGAGAGAGAAGGGAGGAUGUUGGUGUGAGGAGAGGGGGAAAAGUGCAAUGCUGCUUUCAAAUGACAAUGGAUGGUGUUGGAUCUUCUGAUUUCAGCAAUACCCGUUGAAUGCGGUAAUUCUACCACGUAGCCAAAGGGCUGUAUGUGAUUGGUCAAUUAUUUGUGAAUUAGUCAAUUACACAAAAGGGCAUGUGUUAGUGUAAAUUAAGAUUGAGUUAAAGGGCAAUUUAAGGUGAUCUUAUGUAUGUAACAUUCUUAGUUAGGUUUCUUUCUCCAUCUUACAAUAUGUGUCGUCUUUCUUAUUUUUAUUUAUAUCAAAUUAUUUGUCUCUUUAGAAUACUAAUGUGAUAUUUAUUAUUUCUUUUAAUUAAUUUAUCUUUACUUAUUGUACUUUAAAUCAGAUAACUACUUCACUAAUCUCUCAUUUUCAUAUAAUCAUCUCCCUGCAAUUUCACUCUCAUCUCUCAACCACUCUUCAACCUAACUCGUGAACAAUAACUAUAAAGGAAACGCAACACAAAUUCAGACUUCUACAGUCUAAAGGGGGAGGAAGAAGAAGAAGCUUGCCUAAAGAAAGUGAAAAUUCGAGCUUACCAAAAUCUCUGGUAUUUCCCCUCAUCUUCUUCACCUUCGAUUUCCAACAAAUUUCGGGGCCGUAUACGCCUAACAAUUAGGUUCUCAAGUUUCUUAUUGCUAUUUCCUUAAAUUCAGCUACCAACAUGUAGAGUCCAACAUGAGGAAUCAAAGUUUUAAGGUGUUAGGCUUUGAUUACUCCUCCGUGCAAUUUAAUUUUGGAAUUGGUAUUUACGAUUCAUAUAAAGUUUGUUUCGGUUUGAAUGAUAGAUAAGAAAUCAAAAGGAAUUAACGUGAUAGAAUGAAAAAGUAUGAUACAAAUGUUACAUUGAUGUGUGGUUCUUGGUAUUUUGACCUUCGCCGCCGCCAGAGGCGAUUCCCGGUGCAAUGGAGUUGUUCUCCGGCCAAGGCAUAUUUGAGAGGGAGACACUUGAAAUGAAAGAGUGAAUGGAUGAUGCUGAAACCUCCCCUCUCAUUUGGUCUCUCUGUUGGGCUUGUUUGGGCCUUCAACCCAUACAAUUGAUAUGUUGCACCCCCACGCUAAUUGCACACACCCUAUUUGGCUAGCUUCACAUAGCUUUAAGCUUCUGAAGCAGGCCCAAACUUUUUUCCUCAAUAUGGAUACGAGAUGAAUGACCCAGUUGUUCAAAUUAUUCACCUCCACUCAUAGACUUUAGUACAAUUCAAAUCAAAUAACUACCAAGUCUUCUUCAAAACUACAACAUCUCAAUAGUGCAACACUACUUCAUCAACACUUCCUCUUUAGACCAAACACGAUUUCCUUUGGCAUCCAUACAUUAUUUAGGUUAGUCGCCUCAUGGUUAAACACCUAUAGCUGAACCAAAAACCCUUUUCUUUCUUGUUUUCCAUGUUAGACCCAUGUUUUGGCAAACUCUCUUUCCUUCCAUACUUGCCUUGUUAGUCACAUGCUUUGGCAAGCCCUUUAUGCAUGUUUUCCAGGUUAGUCCCAUGCUGUGGCAAACCCUUUUCCUUCCUUGUUUUCAUUGUUAGUCCCAUGCUUUGGCAAACCUCUUUCCUUUCAUGUCUGUCUUGUUAGUCCCAUGCUUAGGCAAGCAACCCUCUUUCAUUACGAACAACACCUUUAAUUCCAACAACCCUCUCUCUUUUAAUUCAGUUGAGCAACUCUUUCUUUUCUUUUAGCACUUAAUUUUUUUUCAAAAUAACUCUUCUUUUCACAGAAGAAUUAUUAUAACCCAAUUCUUAGCAGUCAGACUAAAAGCUUAGAGCAUCUUAACAAGGAUCAAGUCAGCUAACGUUUAUACACUUCUAAGAUACAAUUAUAAUUGUUCCCUAAAAACAACCAACACAUCCGUAUUUUCUAUCACGAACUACAGAGUUUUGAUUUUCUCAUUUCACUAUGAGAAUACGUAGGCACGAGGGUUCGAAUCCUUGGAGAGCACACUAAUUAUAAACUUUUUUUCCCAUUUUCAAGUAAUCUUUAGAUAGUAACACUCAUCCGUGCAAAGAACAAUCAAAUGGUUCUCGUUGAGUACAAUGGACGUGAGGGAUGCUAAUACUUUUCCUUUGCAUAACCUACUUUCUUACACUGUUUCUCUUUCCCUUGGGUUUCAUCGAUAUUUUUCCUUUCCUUCGGGAAUAUAUAAAGUUUGGUGGCGACUCUGUUGUAUCUUCGAGCGUGCGAUGCAAUCAGAUAUAUUUUGUGGUGCGACAAGAGGGUUGAGAUUAUUCUUAAGGUUUAUCAAAAGUGUAUUUUUCUAUUCUGUGUCUAAUGAAGUUAUAGUGGAUGUAUAUUUAUAUGCAUAUGGGUUGUUGUAUUGAUGGUUUUCUAUCAUGAAUUUAGUUUUUGCUUUUGGGAGGUUUUGUAGAAUUCAUGGCUUACUGAGUACAUAUAAGAAUUGCAAUGGUUUGUAUUUAUGUUUAUAUAAGUGGCAUUUAUUGCUUUUUUGUCAUUGAGGAAAUUUUAGCUUGAUGUAUUUGAGGAUGAAGGAAAUGAUGUUGCUAAAUGGAAUGGAAUUGGAGGAAUGGAAUGGAAUGGAAUGGAAGAAGACAUAGAAACAAGAGAUGAACAUCAAUUGAAUAUGAUUUUAUGUUUUUGUCCCACAUCGAAUUUUUAACUAAUACUACAAGUGUUUAUAUAUCUCAUAUAUACAUGAUAUGUUCAAUUGGUAUUGGAGUGGUACUGUAAGUAAAUGGGCUUAGGCCCAAAAAUUUCUUUUCAAUAUUUUAAUGAAUUAAUUAAAAUAAUAAUAAUUAAUAUUAUUAAAUAUUAAUUUAGUUAAAAACAUUAUUAAAUAUUAGUUUAAUUAAAAACAUAUUAAUUAAUAAAAUAUCUUACUCAUCCUUGUUAGCUAAUUAAAAAUAUUUUUUUAUCCUAAUCAUCUCUAUCACGUAUGCAAAAGUGGAGGGGGACUAAAAAACUCCAAAGACCAUCAAAAUUAAGGGAUCAAAAUCUUUGAUUUUGUAAAAGGGGAACCAAUUGUUUAAAACGCCCAAAAUAGGGAGACCAAAAGUGUAUUUAAGCCAAAAAAAACUUAUCCAAGAUUAACAGAACUAAAGCAACGUGUGUCAUUAUAUAUUGAAUUACAUUCUUGUUUAACAAGUUCAUUCUUCUGUCUUUCCAUAUCAUUUUGUAUUCAAUCCACCAGCUUCCCAAGUUCAAAAACAAUGUGUGUCAUUAUGUAUUGAAAUACAUUAUUGUUUGACAAGUGCAAUCUUUUGCUUUUUCCAUGUCAUUCUAUAUUCAAUUACAAUAUUUAAGUAUUCAAUAAACAAUAUGUGUUCAUUGGAAAACAAUGACCCUAAGAAAGAGAGAAAGGCAAACCUGAGUUUAAUGAUUUCCACCUUCAUUCUCAUCAUCUUAUGUUUCCCAAAUAAUACUAACACGUGCUUCAAGAACAUAGAUAAAAAGGACGUUACACAUUAUCUUUUAUUGUCGGAAAACAUGUUAUCUUGGACAGACCAUAAGAUAAAACCAUUGUUUCUGUUUAUAGAAAAUUAUAGAGAGUGAAUGGGUCAUAAUCCACCAGUUUCACAAGUUCAAAAACAAUGUGUGUCAUUAUGUAUUCAAAUACAUUAUUGUUUCACAAGUACAAUAUUUUGUUUUUCAUCUCAUUCUAUAUUCAGUUACAAUCUUAAAGUAUUCAAUAAAUAAUAUGUGACCAUUAGAAAACAAUGACCCUAAGAAAGAGAGAAAGGCAAACCUGAGUUUAAUGAUUUCCACCUUCAUUCUAAUCAUCUUCUCUUUCCCAAAUACUACUAACAUAUGUUGCAAGAACAUAGAUGAAAAGGACGUUACACGUUAUCUUUUAUUGCUGGAAAAAAUGUUAUCUUGCACAGACCAUAAGACAAAACCAUUGUUCCUAUUUAUAGAUAAUUAUAGAGAGUGAAUAGGUCUCAAUCCACCAUUUUCACAAGUUCAAAAACAAUACGUGUCAUUAUGUAUUGAAAUACAUUAUUGUUUGACAGGUACAAUCUUUUGUUUUUCCAUGUCAUUCUACAUUAAAUUACAAUCUUGAAGUAUUCAAUAAAUAAUAUGUAUCAUUAUGUAUUGAAAUAUAUUAUUGUUUGACAGGUACAAUAUUUCGUUUUUCCAUGUCAUUCUAUAUCCAAUUACAAUCUUGAAGUAUUCAAUAAACAAUAUAUGUCAUUUGGAAACAAUGACCCUAAGAAAGAGAGAAAGACAAACCUGAGUUUAAUUAUUUUCACCUUCAAUCUCGUCAUCUUCUAUUUCCCAAAGAAUACUAACAUAUGUUGCAAGAACAUAACUGAAAAGGACUUUACAUGUUAUCUUUUAUUGCUGGAAAACUCAACAUUUUAAAGGUUUUAAGACAAUAUUCCAGUUUCUUCCAUAACAGAUGGAAGUGUUUUUACUUGUUUUGAGGUUGCACGUUCAAAAUAUCCCGGAAAUCUAUCCUUGUCACGAUGAUUCUCCCACACCAGUUUCACAUACAGUAUCAAGAUUUCAUCAUCAUUAUGACCAGCCUGACAAAAAAUGUACUCCUACAUAUUGAAUUUCUCACUGUCCCUAUCAAUAGAUGUCAAAUAUUUGAAUUCGAAGUCAACAUUACAACCAAAACAAUAAAAAACACCAUACUUGUCAAAAUGAUUCUAAAAGUGUUUAUCAAAAUAACACAUCUCAAAACCUAAGAUCUCGAUAUAUUCUCAUAGAAUCAAAGUAUAUUCAAAUUCAACCGAAACCUAAAAAAAAUCCAACUUCACCACUAUCAAAACUAAGUCCUAAACCAAAUCACCAUUAUUAUCAGAUCCGAUUUCACCAUCAUCAACUCCAAUUCAUGAUAAAGCAGCACAAGCUUCACACAUAUAUUAUCUUCAUCCAUUUCAUGUCUAAAAACGAUUUCAAACAACCAAACACGAAAUGAAGAAGACUCGAUAAAUUAUCAGUUAACUGAUGAUUUUAAGUAAUGGAAAUGAAAAGAUGCUAGAUCAGGAUGAAGGAAAUGAAGUUGUUCUACAAGUCGGAAAAAAAUCGACGAGAGAGAAGGGAGGAUGUUGGUGUGAGGAGAGGGGGAAAAGUGCAAUGCUGCUUUCAAAUGACAAUGGAUGGUGAUGGAUCUUCUGAUUUCAGCAAUACCCAUUGAAUGAGGUAAUUCUACCACAUAGCCAUAGAGAUGUAUGUGAUUGGUCAAUUAUUUGUGAAUUAGUCAAUUACACAAAAGGGCAUGUGUUAGUGUAAAUUAAGAUUGAGUUAAAGUGCAAUUUAAGGUGAUCUUAUGUAUGUAACAUUCUUAGUUAGGUUUCUUUCUCCAUCUUACAAUAUGAGUCGUCUUUCUUAGUUUUAUUUAUAUCAAAUUAUUUGCCUCUUUAGAAAACUAAUGUGAUAUUUAUUAUUUCUUUUAAUUAAUUUAUCUUUACCUAUUAUACUUUAAAUCAGAUAACUACUUCACUAAUCUCUCAUUUUCAUUGAAUCAUCUCCCUGCAAUUUCACUCUCAUUUCUCAACCACUCUUCAACCUAACACGUGCACAAUAACAAUAAUGGAAGCGCAACCCAAAUUCAGACUCCUACAGUCUAAAGGAGGAGGAAGAAGAAGAAGCUUGUGUAAAGAAAGUGAAAAAUCGAGCUUACCAAAAUCUCUGGUAUUUUCCUUCAGCGUUUUCAUCUUCGAUUUCCAACAAACUUCGAGGCCGUAUACGCCUCACAAGUAGGUUCUCCAGUUUCUUCUUUCUCUUUCCUUAAAUUCAGCUACCAUUUUGUAGAGUCCAAGACGAGGAAUCAAAGUUGUAAGGUGUUAGGCUUUGAUUACUCCUCCGUGCAAUUUAAUUUUGGAAUUGGUAUUUACGGUUCAUAUAAAGAUUAUUUCGGUUUGAAUGAUAGAUCAGAAAUCAAAAGGAAUUAACGUGAUAGAAUGAAAGAGUAUGAUACAAAUGUUACAUUGAUGUGUGGUUCUUGGUAUUUUGACCUUCGUCGCCGCCAGAGGAGAUUUCCAGUGUAAUGGAGUUGUUCUCCGGCCAAGGCAUUUUUGAGAGGGAAACAUUUGAAAUGAAAAGAGUGAAUGGAUGAUGCUGAAACCUCCCCUCUCAUUUGGUCUAUCAGUUGGGCUUGUUUGGGCCUCCAACCCAUACAAUUGAUAUGUUGCACCCCACGCUAAUUGCACACACCCUAUUUGGCUAGCUUCACAUAACUUUAGGCUUCUGAAGCAGGCCCAAACUUUCUUCCUCAUUAUGGAUACGGGAUUAAUGACCCAGUUGUUCAAAUUAUUCACCUCCACUCAUAGACUUUAGUACAAUUCAAAUCAAAUAACUACCAAGUCUUCUUCAAUACUACAAUAUCUCAACAGUGCAACACUACUUCAUCAACACUUUCUCUUUAGACCAAACACGAUUUCCUUUGGCAUCCAUACAUUAUUUAGGUUAGUCACCUCAUGGUUAAACACCUAUAGCUGAACCAAAACCCCUUUCUUUCUUGUUUUCCAUGUUAGACCCGUGCUUUGGCAAACUCUCUUUCCUUCCAUACUUGCCUUGUUAGUCACAUGAUUUGGCAAGCCCUUUAUGCAUAUUUUCCAGGUUAGUCCCAUGCUUUGGCAAACCCUUUUCCGUCUUUGUUUGCAUUGUUAGUCCCAUGCUUUGGCAAACCUCUUUCCUUUCAUGUAUGUCUUGUUAGUCCCAUGCUUAGGCAAGCAACCCUCUUUCAUUACGAACAACACCUUCAAUUCCAACAACCCUCUCUUUUAAUUCAGUUGAGCAACUCUUUCUUUUCUUUUAGCACUUAAAUUUUUUUCAAAAUAACUCUUCUUUUCACAGAAGAAUUGUUAUAACCCAAUUCUUAGCAGUCAGACUAAAAGCUUGGAGCAUCUUAACAAGGAUCAAGUCAGCUAACGUUUAUACACUUCUAAGAUACAAUUAUAACUGUUCCCUAAAAAUAACCAACACAUCCGUAUUUUCUAUCACGAACUACAGAGCUUUGAUUUUCUCAUUUCACUAUGAGAAUACGUAGGCACGAGGGUUCGAAUCCUUGGAGAGCACACUAAUUAUAAACUUUUUUUCCCAUUUUCAAGUAAUCUUUAGAUAGUAACACUCAUCCGUGUAAAGAACAAUCAAAAUGGUUCUCGUUGAGUACAAUGGACGUGAGGGAUGCUAAUAAUUCCCCUUUGCAUAACCUACUUUCUUACACUAUUUCUCUUUCCCUUGGGUUUCAUCGAUAUUUUUCCUUUCCUUCGGGAAUAAAUAAAGUUUGGUGGCGACUUUGUUGUAUCUUCGAGCGUGCGAUUCAAUCAGAUAUUUUUUGCGGUGCGACAAGAGGUUCGAGAUUAUUCUUAAGGUCUAUAAAAAGUGUAUUUUUGUAUGUAAUUGUGUGUCUAAUAAAAUUACACUGGAUGUAUAUUUAUAUGCAUAUGGGUUUUUGUAUUGAUGGUUUUCAAUCAUGAAUUUAGUUGUUGCUUUUGGGAGGUUUUGUAGAAUUCAUGGCUUACUGAGUACAUAUAAGAAUUGUAAUGGUUUGUAUUUAUGUUUAUAUAAGUGGAAUUUAUUGCUUUUUUGUCACUGAGGAAAUUCGAGCUUGAUGUAUUUGAGGAUGAAGGAAAUGAUGGUGUUUAGUGGAAUUGAAUUGGAGGAAUGGAAUGGAAGAAGACAUAGAAACAAGAGAUGAACAUCAAUUGAAUAUGAUUUUAUGUUUUUGUCCCACAUCGAAUGUUUAACUAAUACUACAAGUGUUUAUAUAUCUCAUAUAUACAUGAUAUUUCACUUGGUAUUGGAGUGGUACUGUAAGUAAAUGGGCUUAAGCCCAAAAAUUUCUUUUCAAUAUUUUAAUGAAUUAAUUAAAAUAAUAAUAAUUAAUAUUAUUAAAUAUUGAUUUAGUUAAAAACAUUAUUAAAUAUUAGUUUAAUUAAAAACAUAUUAAUUAAUAAAAUAUCUUACUCAUCCUUGCCAGCUAAUUAAAAAUAUUUUUUUUAUCUUAAUCAUCUCUAUCACGUACGCAAAAGUGGAGGGGAACUUAAAAACUCCAAAGACCAUCAAAAUUAAGGGAUCAAAAUCGUUGAUUUUGUAAUAGGGGAAUCAAUUGUUUAAAACGUCCAAACUAGGGAGACCAAAAGUGUAUUUAAGUAAAAAAAAACUUAUCCAUGAUUAACAGAACUAAAGCAAUGUGUGUCAUUAUAUAUUGAAUUACAUUCUUGUUUAACAAGUUCAUUCUUCCGUCUUUCCAUAUCAUUUUGUAUUCAAUCCACUAGUUUCACAAGUUCAAAAACAAUGUGUGUCAUUAUGUAUUGAAAUACAUUAUUGUUUGACAAGUGAAAUCUUUUGUUUUUCCAUGUCAUUUUAUAUUCAAUUACAAUCUUGAAGUAUUCAAUAAACAAUAUGUGUUCAUUGGAAAACAAUGACCCUAAGAAAGAGAGAAAGGAAAACUCGAGUUUAAUAAUUUCCACCUUCGUUCUCAUCAUCUUAUGUUUCCCAAAUAAUACUAACAUGUGCUUCAAGAACGUAGCUAAAAAGGAUGUUACACAUUAUCUUUUAUUGCCGGAAAACAUGUUAUCUUGGACAGACCAUAAGAUAAAACCAUUGUUUAUGUUUAUAGAAAAUUAUAGAGAGUGAAUGAGUCUCAAUCCACCAGUUUCACAAGUUCAAAAACAAUGUGUGUCAUUAUGUAUUCAAAUACAUUAUUGUUUGACAUGUACAAUAUUUUGUUUUUCAUCUCAUUCUAUAUUCAGUUACAAUCUUAAAGUAUUCAAUAAACAAUAUGUGACCAUUAGAAAACAAUGACCCUAAGAAAGAGAGAAAGACAAACCUGAGUUUAAUGAUUUCCACCUUCAUUCUAAUCGUCUUCUCUUUCCCAAAUACUACUAACAUAUGUUGCAAGAACAUAGAUGAAAAGGACGUUACACGUUAUCUUUUAUUGCUGUAAAAUAUGUUAUCUUGCACAUACCAUAAGACAAAACCAUUGUUCCUAUUUAUAGAUAAUUAUAGAGAGUGAAUGGGUCUCAAUCCACCAUUUUCACAAGUUCAAAAACAAUACGUGUCAUUAUGUAUUGAAAUACAUUAUUGUUUAACAGGUACAAUCUUUUGUUUUUCCAUGUCAUUCUAUAUUCAAUUACAAUCUUGAAGUAUUCAAUAAAUAAUAUGUAUCAUUAUGUAUUGAAAUAUAUUAUUGUUUGACAGGUACAAUAUUUCGUUUUUCCAUGUCAUUCUAUAUCCAGUUACAAUCUUGAAGUAUUCAAUAAACAAUAUGUGUCAUUUGAAAACAAUGACCCUAAGAAAGAGAGAAAGAUAAACCUGAGUUUAAUUAUUUUCACCUUCAAUCUCAUCAUCUUCUAUUUCCCAAAGAAUACUAACAUAUGCUGCAAGAACAUAGCUAAAAAGGACGUUACAUGUUAUCUUUUAUUGCUAGAAAACUCAACAUUUUACAGGUUUUAAGACAAUAUUCCAGUUUCUUCCAUAACAUAUGGAAGUGUUGUUACUUGUUUUGAGGUUGCACGUUCAAAAUAUCCCGGAAAUCUAUCUUUGUCACGAUGAUUCUUGAUCGAGAAAAUAGCAAGUGUACUAUUUUCCCGAUGUAGUAAUAAGAGGGAUGUUUCACAAAGAUCGAUCUCGAGGAUUGCGCAAUAAUAUAUGAGUAAACAGACACUCAAUUUAACAAAAGUAAUAGUUUUGGAUUUUGUAAAAUUCACUCUAAGGGAAAACAAAACAAAUAAAUAUUUUCACAGAUUAUAAUAAUAUGCCAAGGAGGGAAACCCGUGUCAGCUCCCUGUUUUCCUCUUCCAAGUGCCUUCUCCUGACACGACCCGUGUUGGGCAACAUGGGUGGACAUGUCAUGACUACUGUACUAUCCAAUUUUCUUCUUCCAACGGGCUUGGAACGUCCGAUUUGCUUGUUUAUCCCUCUGGUACUCUUGCUUACACCUGAAACCAAUAGAACUACCACAAAGGGACAUAAAAUGGAGUAUAAUGAUGAAUAUAACAUGUAAUCAACAACUGGAAACAAUAGUGCAAAACAUCUAAAUUACUAAACAAAACAAUAAAAUAAGUGGACUAAUAUGUUACUGACUUCGUACAAAAGUGCCGAAUGAGUGUCAGAAAACAUGUAAAAUUGGAGAUUGAUCACAACCCCAAACUUAUCUCAUUGCUUGUCCUCAAGUGAUGCUCGAGACAUCAGGAUGGUUACCCUCAAAUUUUGCAUCCACAAUGCUACUGCGAUCUUUCGUAAUCUCCUGUUCACUUUUCAAUCACAGUUUUACUCUUUCCCGAUUUCCGAAUUCAGCCACACUUUCAGCUUGACGCAUCUUUUGGUUUGUAGCUUUUCACACUUUCACCAAAUCUCUCGGGAUCAAAGUGUUUACACUCAAGAAAAACAGAGCAUUCAAAGUCAACUCUUAGGUGUGAGAUACAAAUACCUUCAUAACAAGAAACACACAACACACAUUAUUCGAGGAUUUUUUGGAUUGUAGCAGGGCUAAGGUUUAAGGUGGGGAGUCAAAACUAAAAAAAUGGAAACACUAGGGGUUCAGGCUCAGAGUUCGUUUUGUUACCCUCAUAAUUGUUGUUCAAUCUAAAAAAUCCGGGGUAUUUCUUUUGGACACCGUUCUUGUUGAGAUUCAUUGGCUCAUAUAUUUUUCUUUUAUUGCUCUUUGAGCAUGCUUUUUGCCAACCUUCAUACUUCUAGAUAAGUGCUUCAUGAUACUUCUCAUGAUAUACAUUUUUUUUCAUUUCUCUUUUAUUUCUUUGAAUUUUUCUUUUCUUUUUUCACUUAUCUACCUUUCAUCGGUGUCUCCAACAUUCUGAUAAAACCCCAAACUUAGGCUUUUCCACAGAUCCGGAGUAAACAACACUUAUCUAAGCAAGGUGUGGUAGUGUAUGGGUUUAUGGUUAUAUACAGUGGUUAAAUAGGAAACAAAAGUGGCUCAAAUUUGGUGAACAAAGGGUAAUAAUUACGGGUUGGCUGGAAAGGCUCAGGGUUAAAAUAAAAACAAUGCCUCAGUGUGUAUCGUGUGUUAUGAAAUUUCAGUAUCUCUAAUGCAAACCUAGAGAGACAGAGACAUACCUGGAUAACUCUUAUGAUGGUAACUGUUUGGCUUUUUGUAGUCCUCACCAUGUUUUGUCUAGCUUACAGGCUUCCAAGAUACCUCUGAAUGUGAUGCAGUUUCGUCUUCGCUUCGGUUAUAGAGUAUCCCUAAGAAGUCCAGUGAUAGAGAGUCGCGUCUGAUUGUUCGGGUCAGUAGCAUCAAUUUUCGGGGGUUUCCAGAAGAGAAAGUAAAGAGGUGUGUCUUCCAUCCAAUCGCUCCAAGCUUCAUCAUUCAUCCGACACGAAUGUCCUUUAUCUGUAACACAUAGAAUACCACACAACUUAAUUUUAAAAAAUUGAAAAAUACCAAAAACAAAAACAGCAAAAACAACAACUAAUACCCCCCCCCCCACACACACACACACACACUUGAACUAAACAUUAUCCUCAAUGUUUAAUCCAAGAUAGAGAUGGACUCACACAGGUUCAUUGUGGUGGCGGAAAUUGCAACAUCAGACAUUAUAUCAUUGCAUGCAUUUCCUCCAUAAAAGUCCCUUGACGGGCUUUCUCUAAGCCUUGGUGUGUUUGCUCCUCUCGGAGGUCUCCAACUUCAGUUUGCAUCCACGACCAUUGGUCCAGCGUCACAUAUGAUGACCCGACACUUGGUGCGUGGAGUCCUCUGAUGGAGAAACAAAUUGCUCCCGAUCCUGUAUCUCUUCUUGUACUUCUUCCUCUGGUGGGUCACCUGCAGCAAAUGUGCCAGCAUUGUGCUCGUCCAUAUCAUCUUGGACGACACUCACAUAUAACCAAUUGGCCAUGUUGGAAAUGUUAAUUCGUGCAGGGUCAGGAAGAGGCAUAAUAAACUGACCCGAACUCAUUAAGGCAUAAUAAUUAAAAAUUUGUGAAAUCAUACCUUGUUGGACCAAUGCGUUCAUGUCCAGUUUAUGCUUACCUGUCACCGGCGUCUCAUUAAGUGCAGCAGGGUCAUAUCCGAAAUGGUGGGCAAUCUGUGUGAUUAUGCCCCCUAUGGAGAUUCCCCCUUGGCUGCUCUCCCCAUGCGACCCAGAUAAUCUGCAAUAAAUGUUGCAACGCUCAUAGCUACCCGGUUUUCCAUUGCAAACAAAAAGAAGAUUUCCCUCUGGGUGGCUACACCUGUGCUAUCACCCCUGCCAAAAAGUGUGAAAGUCAGCACCUUCUAGGCAUACCUGAAACAUGGGUUUUGAAUGCCAGAUAUCUUCGCCCCUUUAGACACAUAGUAUGAUCGUCUGGUAGUGGCCAACCAGAAAGUCUUAGCAUCAAAACUGUCUGGUACGACUCCGGGGCCAUAAAGGGGUAGGCGAAGAAUUUCACCCAACUGCUCCACUGUCAACUCGUGGUCGACAUUGUAUAACCUGAAAGACAUUGUUCCUCCAAAGUACAUCGUUGUACCCGUCCAACUUUUUUUAAACUUGAACUCAAUUGUGCUCAAGAAUUCUAAAGUGAUGCGCUCAUAGGUUGACGCUUCACAAUGCACAAACUCAAGCAUUCUGAGGACAUGGAACAUCCUAUCCAAUUCUUCCGACAAAACUAAUUGAAAUAAAGUAUCGGAGCAAAGGUACCUUGUUGAAGUGAUUUUACGUUUGACGUGAGAUGCGUACCUCCGUUCACGCUCCGGGUUGUCAAAGAUGAUAUCAUGUGAAUUCGGAUGACGGAUGGUUCGUUUCUAUGGACGGGCUAAUUCCGCAUUUGUUUGCUUCCUUUUGGAAAUUCGCUUCGACGACAUUUUUGAUUCAUGCAACAAAAUUUAUCACCCAAAAAAAGUAUGGAAAAUGGAAAAAUGAUUACCGUAGCCUUGUAGAGGAUGAAGAGUAGAGCAACUUUUGUGAAGGGUGCCGGCAAUUUGGACAAAGUAAGGUGCUAAAGUUGGGAGCUUUAAGGUGGUGUGGUUAUGGAUGAAGGUUAAGAACAAAUGAGGAAGGAGAAGGAUGAUGUGAAAAUGAGAGAGAGAGAGAGAGUGAAAGAAAAUCAUAUUUUAUUGGUAGAUUAAGGAUAAAAUGUGUUUUAGUGGUGGAAAAUCUGGGUGGGGUCCACAAAAUCACAAAAAGACAAAAUUUGAAAAACAUGGUCGUGUCAGUUGACACGGGUGGCCGUGUUAGGCCACUGUAAUUCGUUGGUUCCUCCAGUAGAGCUGACAUGGGCCGUGUCAGCCUACUGUAAAAUUCUAAUUUUCCCUUGCUUGCCUGACACGGGCUGUGUCAGGUGACACGGGCACCCGUGUUAGAGCCCUGCUUUUCCAAAAAAAUCCGAUUUUCUAGUGUUUUUGGUUAUUACCCUGUUCUUUGGCAUGCAACAAUCUUUUAUAAGUUUAACUCAACCCUUCUCUUCUACACUAUGUGAUGUAAUUGUGAACCUAUGAAUAAACCUGUAAACACACCAAACAUGAAAAUAGUUAGAAUAAAACCGCGUGGGUUGCCUCCCAUAAAGCGCGGCGUUUAACAUCGCAUGGCUCGACGGUCAUCUCCCUCAUCCUUGGAGACGAACAUUAUCGAUCAGACCACUUUCCCGUCCCUUAUAGUAGUGUUUCAACCUUUGUCCAUUUACCUUGAAGGUAUCCCCAUUAUUUGGAUUUUUCAGUUUGAUAGCUCCAUGGGAAAACACUUUGUGAACCACAAACGGACCCGACCACCUGGAUUUCAACUUUCCUAGAAAAAGUUGUAAUCUGGAGUUGAACAAAAGUACCAGUCGUCCCUCGACAAACUCCUUUCUCUGCAGCUUCUGAUUGUUCCAUUUCUUUGUCUUUUCUUUGUAUAGCUUGGCGUUCUCAUAUGCUUGAUUCCGAAACUCCUAUAACUCGUGGAGCUGAAGGAUUCAGGACUCACCUGCUUUAGCCAGAUCAUAAUUCAAGAAUUUGGAUGCCCAAAAUGCUUUGUGCUCUAACUCUAGUGGAAAGUGACAAGCUUUACCAUAAAUCAGUUGAUACAGAGACAUACCUAUGGGCGUUUUGAAAGCCGUUCUAUACGCCUAUAAUGCAUCUUCUAAUUUUAAUGCCCAAUCUAUCCUAGAUGCGUAAACAAUCUUUUCCAAUAUUUACUUUAUCUGCCUGUUGGACACUUCGACCUGGCCACUCGUUUGAGGGUGAUAUGGAGUGGCGAUCUUGUGUUUAACAUUAUAUUUCUUUAGUAGGUUCUCCAUCAGUUUGUUCAAAAAGUGAGUGCCUUCAUCGCUAAUAAGUGCUCUUGGCACCCUGAAUCUCGAAAAUAUAUUGUUCUUCAGAAAUGUCACCACCACUUUAGCGUCAUUGGUGGGGAAUGCCACAACUUCCACCACUUUGAUACAUAGUCGACUGCUACCAAGAUGUAAUUUUUCCCACAGGAUGGUGGAAAUGGCCCCGUGAAGUCUAUUCCCCAGACAUCAAACAAUUCAACCUCCAGCAUAGCAUUUUGCGGCAUUUGACAUCUAUCGCAUUCGUUGACAUCUGUCGCAUUCUUUGACGAAUUCCUGGGCAUCUUUGAACAAUGUGGGCUACUAUAGACCUAAUUGAAGAACUUUGGACGUUGUUCGAUCACCACUGAAAUAUCCUCCAUAGUCUGAAUCAUGACAAGCUCUAAGUACAUCCCUUUGCUCCUUCUCCAGGACACAUCUUCUGACCAACCCAUCCACUCCUCUUUUGUAUAGGAAUGGGUCAUCCCACAAGUAAAACCUGCAAUCAUGAACAAACUUUUCUUUUUGUUAGAAUCAAAAUCGUUGGGGAUGACACCUCCCACCAAAUAAUUUGCAUAGUUUGCAAACCACGGGAUACCGAUAACAGCGAGGAUGUGUUCAUCAGCGAACUCAUCCUUUAUCGGUCUUUUUUCUGUUGUUUCUUCAAUAGGUGACAAACGGGAUAGAUGAUUUUCCACUGUGUUUUCGCACCCUAUUUUGUCUCGGAUCUCUACAUAAAAUUCUUGGAGGAGUAAGAUCCACCUGAGAAGUCUCAGCUUAGAGCCUUGUUUAGGAAAUAGAUAUUUCAAAGCGGCAUGGUCCGUAUACACUACAACCUUCGAUCCUAACAAAUAUUACCUGAACUCGUUAAAAGCGUAAACCACAGCUAACAACUCUUUUUCAGUGGUCGUGUAGUUCAUCUGUGUCGGGUUCAACACAUGACUAGCAUAAUAGAUGACAUGUAAUAACUUCUCUCUUCCCUGUCCUAAGACUUCCCCUACAGCAAUAUCACUAGCAUCACACAUGAUCUCAAAUGGAAUAGACCAAUCGGGGGCAAUCACAAUGGGUGCUGAAAUCAGUUUGCUCUUAAAUGUCUCAAAGGCCAUGAUGCAUUCUUUGUUGAACAGAAAUGCCUUAUCUUUAACCAAUAGAGUGGUCAGCGGUUUUGCAAUUUUUGGAAAAUCUCUUAUGAACCUGCGGUAAAAACCUGCGUGUCCUAAGAAACUCCUGAUACCCUUCUCAUUAGCCAGGGGUGGGAGUUUAGAUAUAACUUCCACUUUUGCUUGGUCAACUUCAAUUCCCUUGUAGGAAAUUUUGUGACCCAACACUAUCCCCUCACGCACCAUGAAGUGACAUUUCUCCCAGUUCAGAAUUAAAUUUGUUUUCUGGCACCUGUCUAAAACAAGAGAGAGAUUAGUUAAACAGUUAUCAAAUGAGGAUCCAAAGACCGAGAAGUCAUCCAUGAGGACUUCCAUAUACUUUUCGAGCAUGUCAAUGAAAAUGGAGGUCAUGCAUCGUUGGAAGGUGGCUGGAGCAUUAACAACCCGAAUGGCAUUCUUCUGUAAGCAAAAACACCAUAUGGGCAUGUGAAUGCUGUCUUUUCUUGGUCUUCCGGAGCUACAACAAUCUAAUUAUACCCAAAGUAUCCAUCUAGAAAACAGUAGUAAUCAUGCCCGACUAACCUCUCCAACAUCUGGUCAAUAAAUGGGAAAGGGAAAUGGUCCUUCCUAGUUGAUGUGUUCAACCUUCUAUAGUCAAUGCAAACACGCCAUCCAGUUAUUGUCCGAGUAGGAAUUAACUCAUUUUUUCAUUCUUUAUUACAAUAGUCCCCCAUUUCUUAGGGACAACAUGAACUGGGUUCACCCACGGGAUGUCAAAAAUAGGAUAAAUAAGACCUGCGUCUAACAAUUUCACCACCUCUUUCCGAACUACUUCCUUCAUUGCAGGAUUGAGUCUUCUCUACGGUUGGACUACCGGUUUGUGGUCGUCUUCCAUGAGAAUUUUAUGCAUGCACACAAUAUGGCUAAUACCCUUCAAAUCUUCAAUUGCCCAUCCGAUAACAUUUUUGUACUUUUUCAAGACUUGGAUGAGCUUUUCUUCUUGGAUAUUCUGAAGGCUCGAGUUUAUGAUAACAAGACAUUUUCCUUCAGGUUCGAGAAAAGACAUAUUUAAGAUUGUCAGGAAGUUGUUUCAACUCCGUUUCCUUCUUUGGUUCUUCAUUAUCCUAACUAGAUUGUGAAAUUCUGGUAUCAUAUAUGAGAUGUCGAAGGUAAUGUCACGACACUAAUAUCUGAACAAUAUAAACGGAAUAAAAGAUAAAGAACAAUAGUACAAGCGACACAAGCAAUUGUUAACCCAGUUCGGUGCAAACUCACCUACGUCUGGGGGCUACCAAGUCAGGAAGGAAAUCCACUAAACAGAAUUAGUUCAAAGACUCUCAGUAAACAACUUCAAGUUACAGUCUUUUCCACUAAGUCUCUACCCAUGUGACUUCUAUCAAGAACUCUUAGAUAAGAGAUCUACUCACUUCCCCCUCAAUCACAACAGUGAUGUAAAAACAAAUAUUACAAAGAAAGAAGACACUCUUCAAGAACACAUACUUGAUCUUGCUUAAAAGCUUCAACCAAGUAAACACACACUCAUGCUUCAAAUCUUAGAGUGGACAAAUUACAACACAAAAGUCAUUCCAAUUUAAUCAUCAAUAGGAUGAAUGAAUGGCUCACAAUACACAAGCACACACAAGACUAAAACCCUUAUUCUCUCUCACUAUUUCGUUCGUUUUCUUGUGUGUUAAAAUCAGGUUUUCCAUGCCCUUUAAAUAGAAGCUUUUGAAUGGGCUUGGACAUCAUAAAACCCUAAAUCUAUUUUCCCUUCGUAUAUUCUUAACAGCUGAUCAUAUCUUAUUGGAAAAUAAAUUAAUCUGGUUUUAAUUACUGCUCGAAUGGUGCGUUCAAUCUCCACAUCAAUCACACACAAAUUAGCAUGAAAAGCGCAAUCAAACAAAAUACAUAACAUUCAGACUGCAUGUUCUGUCUGACAUCUCAGCUAAAUCUUGCACAACCAUAUUUAAACACCCUGCAGGAACCUGAUAUCUCAUGUCAAGACAACACUUGUGACAACUUGUGAAAACUCUAGGUUUUACCAAAAUUGAUGCCAACACAUAGAACCAACAAAGUCUCCCUUUGGCAAAUUUUGGCUAAAACAUACAUCAAAUCAUUUGUUUCACAAGAGAAUAAUCACAGUAUCAGUUCAGCAGCAGAAGUAAUAAAACACACAUUACUAGAUAAAAUAGCAACUAGUAAACACAUAUUAAACACACAUGCGCUUGUGCUCCCCCUCCCCCUCCAGCUAGCACUAGUCUGCUCAACACAGACAUAACACUUCUCCCUCUAACAACACCUUCAACAUCAUAUGUAACAUCAUCUUCAACAUCAUCUGUAUAUAGUAUAGCAUAACUACUUUAGCUACUUCUCCCCCUUUUUAGCCAAAAGAGACCAAAGAGACAAAAUAAAUGUCUAUUUAGUCAAACAAACAGUAUGUCACAUAGAAUGUCAAAGCAGAUUGUUAAGUGUUACAGAUCCAAGAACAUACACAGCUUUACAUAAGCUGAGAUAAAAUCCAUCAAACUAGAAAAAUACAUAUUAAAGCAGCAGAACAUAACUUCCAGAAAAAUAGAACAACCAUCACAUCACACCAUCAGAAGAGUGGGGGACAACUUCAACAAAAAAUCUAGUCAGAGGAGCUUGAGCUUGCAUCUUCAUCAGCAUCAGAACCAGAACUGCCACUUGUAUCAUCUUUAGUUUCAGACCUCUCACUAGAGGUUUGGGCUUCUGCUUCCUUGGCCUGUCCAAUAUUCUCUCUUUCAGCUUCCUCCAAGCUUGCAAUCAGAGCCUCCAAAGCUUCUUUCCUGGCUGUUGCUACCCUUAUCCCUGUAUCCAAUUCUUUACAAGUUUCUUUCAGCUCACCAAUAAGACCACCUUUUAAGGCUGGCUUUUUCACAGCAGAUGUCAUGACAAUGUCUUUGACAUGACUGCCUUCAAACAAUUUGUAGUGAACUGAUAGAGGAGGUUUUCUUCUACUAGGAAGAUCAUCUGUACUCAGAAUUCCAGGGUGUUGGUUCAGGAUAAUCCCACAAAUCAUUGAGGGAAAAGCUAUGGGCAGCUUUACUGCAUUUGUAGAAGCAUGUUUGACAAUUUGUUCAAACAUAAAUCUACCAUAAUCAAAUUUCAGCUUGGUUCCAACAGCACACAAAUCAUUGAGGGAAAAGCUAUGGGCAGCUUUACUGCAUUUGUAGAAGCAUGUUUGACAAUUUGUUCAAACAUAAAUCUACCAUAAUCAAAUUUCAGCUUGGUUCCAACAGCAAAGAUGAACCUACCAAGGGCAUUUGAAAUUGUGGAAAUGUGGUUGGUAGGCACCCAAUUUGCAGACCCUAUCUUGUGCGAUAUGGCAUAUUUCACAGUCAGCUUCCCAGCAGGGAAAUGCUUCUUACUAGGCCACUCCUUCACCUGUCUUGCUGUAAUUUCCCUACAGACCUCAUUGUCAGUGGCUUCUAGUUCACAUGCACCUUCUGUUCCUCUUCCUAGAAACUUGUUAAUCACAGUUGGAGAAAAUGUGAUACACUUUCCUCUUACAAACACUUUACAGAAUUCCUUGUUGUUUUUAUCAAUGUUUUCAGGAAUGUUGACAACAAAUUCCUUAACCAAUCCUUCAUAGCACUGAGAUAACCCAGCCACAGUCUUCAUUAAUCCAUCAUUUUUAAUUAGGUCCAUGACCUCAACAACAUCCUUGCCUAACUCUCUCUCCACAACCACCCUUCUUUGGAUCACAAACUUCCAUUUUGCUGCUCCAUCUUCAAGAUGGAAAGAAAUAUUAUCCAAGUGUACAACAAUAACUUUUACAAGGGACUUCCUAACAGUUGUCCUCUUAACAGGGGAGAUGUCAGGGAAUUCCUCUUCAACAUCUUCAUCUGACUCAGAAAUUUCUCUCACUUUCCUCUUCUUCACAUCAACUUUGCUCCAAGAUUUUGAGGGUCCUACACCAGUAGUCUUCUUAGCAGUUUUGGCUGACAUCAUUUCAGCCACAAACCUACCUUUUCUAGUCUUCAUCCUCUUAGCCACACUAGGCUUCAAGUGAUGAAGCAAGCUAUCAUCUUGAUCAUCCAAACUAUCAUCUUCUAGGUCAAUCACCUUGUUUGCAAGAUCAUGCUUCUUAGACUGUGAAGCAUUGGCAAUAGGUGAUGCCAUAGAUUUCUUACCAGACACAGUUUGUUCUAAAGAGCAUAAACCUUCAGCAACCAUAUCCUUUUCAGACCUAGAGGAAUUAUCAUCCUUCUCAUUAUGAGGAUAAACCUCAAGAGAGGGGUCCCUUCUUGAUAAAGGGGUAGAAACUCCCUUUAAAGAAUGUCCUUCAUUGAGGAUUCCAGUGACUAGGUUUCUUAUGACAAGAUCAGUGUGAUGCAUGUCGUCCUUAGAACUAGUGGCAUGAGUAGAGCUAAAAGGGAUACUAGAGCUGUUACCUUGAGUAGGGCAUGCAGUGGCAGAUGCAUCCAUAGGAUGGUUUGAGUCAGGAGCUUCGCCUAGAAUGACAGACAGGGGAAUCACGUCUAAAAUAUCUUCAUCAAGAAAGUCCAUUGAAGGCGUUCUAUCCUUAUGAGUAGGCUUAGGGGUUUGUGAACCAUAUGGUGUUUGAUAUUGUGACAUCUUGUUGUUUUUGUGGAAAGGUUUCAGUUGCCCUAGCAGAGAAGUUUGAGGAAGUCGUAGGGAGUUGCAAAUGUUUGAGAAGAGGCUGCGUGUGAAAAGGUAAUAGAUGGAAUUUCUAAUACUAGGUGAUGAUUUACCAUAAACGGGGCACUUUAUUUUAAGUAAUCAGACAAUAAUUUUAUUACCUUUUCCACUCCAAAUUAAUUGCUACAAAUUCUCAUAAAUACAAAUCCCUAAUGUCCCUCUUAGAAAUUCAAAUUGAUUUGCAUCCAAGGCCUUUUUAAAAAUAUCAGCUAACUGCAUUUCAGUAGCAACAUGCUCUAGGGCUAUAAUUUUAUCUUCCACUAGUUCUCUAAUAAAAUGAUGAUGGAUAUCAAUAUGUUUUGUCCUGCUGUGCUGAAUAGGAUUCUUAGAAAUAUUUAUAGCACUCAGGUUAUCACAGUACAACGUCAUGACAUCUUGCGUGACAUUGUAUUCAGUCAGCAUCUGUUUCAUCCAUACCAGUUGAGAAUAACUACUUCCAGCUGCUAUGUAUUCAACUUCAACAGUGGACAGAGACACACAAUUUUUUUUCUUACUAAACCAUGAUAUUAAUUUGUUCCCCAAGAAGAAGCAUCCUCCCGAUGUGCUUUUCCUAUUAUCAACACUUCCAGCCCAAGCAGUAUCACAGUAUCCAGUCAGCACAGAUCCAGAUCCAUGAGUGUAUAUCAUCCCAUAGUCACUAGUGCCAUUGCCAUAUUUCAGGAUCCUUUUCACUUGGUUUAUGUGACUCACUUUUGGUUCAACUUGAUAUCUAGCACAUACACCUACAACAAAAGCAAUGUCAGGUCUACUUGCUGUGAGAUAUAGCAGACUCCCUAUCAUGCUUCUAUAGAGACUUUGAUCUACACUAGCACCAUUUUCAUCUUUAGAGACUUUCAGAUGAGUAGGAGCAUGUAUCCUUUUGUGACUUGCAUUCUCCAUGCCAAACUUCUUAACAAUGUUUUUGGCAUAUUUACUUUGAGAUAGAAAGAUAGAAUCUUCCAUCUGCUUGACUUGUAGCCCAAGAAAAUAGGUCAGCUCUCCAACAAGGCUCAUUUCAAAUUCAGACUGCAUUUGUUUAACAAAAUGUUCGACCAUCUUAUUUGACAUCCCACCAAACAUAAUAUCAUCCACAUAUAUCUGAGCCACCAUGAGUUUUCCUCCUUCAUUUUUGACAAAUAAGGUUUUAUCAAUGCCUCCCUUUCUAUAUCCAUUGUCAAUGAGAAACACUGUGAGUCUAUCAUACCAAGCCCUAGAGGCUUGUUUCAGCCCAUAGAGGGCUUUCCUCAACUUAUACACAUGCUUUGGAAGAUUUGGGUCUGCAAACCCUUUAGGUUGUUCAACAUACACUUCCUCAUUUAAGUAACCAUUCAAGAAGGCAUUUUUUACAUCCAUUUGGAACAGUUUAAACUUCAGAAUACAUGUCACUCCAAGCAAUAGUCUAAUGGACUCCAGGCGAGCUACAAGGGCAAAUGUUUCAUCAAAGUCAACUCCUUCAACUUGAGUGUAUCCUUGUGCUACCAAUCCUGCUUUAUUUUGAGUAACCACCCCUUGUUCAGCAGAUUUAUUCUUGUAAACCCACUUUGUUCCAAUAACAUUUAUUCCUUCAGGUCUUGGAACUAGUUCCCAUACUUCAUUUCUCUUGAAUUGGCCUAACUCUUCCUGCAUAGCAUUGAUCCAGAAUUCAUCGGUUAAGGCUUCUUUGACAUUCCUGGGCUCAAUCUUGGACACAAAACAGCUAUGUGAGAUCACUUCUCUUGAUCUAGUUGUGACCCCUUUAUUUGGGUCUCCUAUAAUGAGAUCUUUAGGAUGAUCCUUCUGAAUUUUGAUAGAGGGUCCCUUAUUAAAUUUGUCAGCUUCAGGUUCAGCUUGAGUAGGUUGACUCUCAUUAAUUUUGUUUGGGAAAUCAGCUGGGACAUCAUUUAGAGAUGUCUCAACAUCGUCCGUGACAUCAGUCUAUUGAUCAUUAACACCAACAUUGAUAGAUUCCAUCAUUACUUUUGUUCUGAAAUUAAAGACCCUAAAUGCUCUGCUGUUUAUUGAGUAACCCAGAAAUAUUCCUUCAUCACUCUUGGGAUCCAUCUUCCUUCUUUGUUCACGAUCAGUCAGAAUAUAACAUUUACUACCAAACACAUGGAAGUAUUUGACAGUAGGUCUUCUUCCUUUCCAUACUUCAUAUAAAGUAGUUGGAGUCCCUUUCUUCAAGGUUACUCUGUUGUGAACAUAGCAGGCUGUAUUCAUAGCUUCAACUCAGAAGUGGUAGGGCAAUUUCUUAGCAUGAAUCAUAGCUCUGGCAGAUUCUUGGAGAGUUUUAUUUUUCCUUUCUACCACACCAUUUUGCUGAGGGGUAAUGGGAGAUGAGAACUCAUGACUAAUUCCUUCAGAUGAAAAGAAUCCAGCAAAUUUACUGCUCUCAAAUUCUUUCCCAUGAUCAUGUCUGGUUCUGAUAACCUGACUUUCUUUUUCUCUUUGAAGUCUUAGGCAAAGAUCUUUGAAUACCUCAAAUACAUCAGAUUUUUCCCUUAUAAAAUUUACCCAGGUGUAUCUGGAGAAGUCAUCCACCACACAUCACAGCAUCACUUUUUCCCACAAAGACAUUCCACCUGGCAUAGGUCCAUCAAGUCCAAUGUGGAGAAGUUCCAGCACUCUGGAUGUGGUGUCAUGUUUGAUCUUCUGAUGUGACAUCUUUGUCUGCUUUCCAAUCUGACACUUCCACACAACUCUUCCUUCAUCAAUAUGUAAGUUUGGGAUUCCUCUGACAGCUUCAACAUAUAUAAUCCUUUCAUUCCUUUAAGAUGCAGAUGGCCCAAUUUUUGAUGCCAUAUCUUCACUUCUUCUCUUGGCUAGAGUACACAUUAAUGAAAAUAACCAGUUUCUUGAGAACUCCACAUAUAGUCCGUUGUCCUUAGACCUUACUCCUUUCAUGCUCACUUCAUUUUCUUUAUUAGUAAUCCAGACAUUCAGUUUUGUGAAGUUUACAUUUAGACCUUGGUCACACAGUUGACUGAUGCUGAUUAGGUUUGCAGUCAGUCCUUUAACAAGUAGCACAUUGUCAAGGUUAAGGGACUCCAGGGCAGUUUAGCUUUCAAUCCCCUUGAUUUCACCCUUUUCUCCAUCACCAGUUUUACAUAGCUGGUGGCAUAGGAUGAAGGUCAAUUAGCAGGUUUUUGCUUCCAGUCAUGUGUCUGGAGUAUCCAAUGUCAAAAUACCAGUCUUCUUUGGCUGAAAAUCUGAAGGAAGUGUGAGCUAUCAGGUUAGUAGCACCAGUCCUAGGAACCCACUGUUUUUCUGUUGAAUGGGAUGUGGUGUUUUGGGUCUAGGUUGAUUAUGAGAAGGACUAGGAUAGCCAUACUACUUAAAGCAGAAUGGUUUUAUGUGGCCAAAAUUUUCCAAGUAAUGACAUCUCCAUCUUUGGUGUUUUCCUUUAUAUUGUCUUUCCUUAUGAUGUUGUGACACAUGAUGUGACAUCUUUGGUUUUGCUACCAGUGUUGACUACACUCAGGAGUGGAUUCAUUGAACCCAAGGCCAGACUUGUCUCCUGCCAUUUUUCCAGUCUGGAGGAUUUUGUCUAAGGUGUCAGAUCCACUGUUUAGCAUUCUGACAUACUUUGUCAUCUCAUCCAGUUUGGUGUUUAAGAACACUGCUUCAAUCUUCAACUUAGAGAUGGUUUCCAAGUGCUCUGUCUUCUCAUCCUCUAGUUGUGUUAUCAAUUUCUUCUGAUUUUCCACUUGUUGACACACUUCUUCACUUCUGUAACACAACUUUCUGUAGGUAGUGGCUAACUCAUCAAAGGCUACUUCAUCAUCACUUGGGUCUUCAUCAGAACCCCAUCUUCCAGCCAAGGCAGUCACAAGAUUGGCAAACUCUCCUUUUGUUUCACUUUCAUCAGACCAAAUAGCAGUAAGACUCUUCUUCUGUUUCUUAAGGUAGGUCCCACAUUCAUCUCUUAUGUGUCCAUACCCAUCACAUUCAUGGCACUAAACUCCUUUUCCUUGUUUGGACUUUUCAUCAGAUCUUGUUCUUGUUCCAGCAUCAUUGGACCUACUGAUGUCAAAUGAGUUGUUCUUGACAUUAGACUUUGACCUUACAUCCAUCUUUUUCAGGAGUUUGUUGAACUGUCUCCCCAGUAAUGCUACAUCAUUUGCCAGAUCACAAAUGAGUUGUUCUUGACAUUAGACUUUGACCUUACAUCCAUCUUUUUCAGGAGUUUGUUGAACUGUCUCCCCAGUAAUGCUACAUCAUUUGCCAGAUCUUCAUCAGUAUCUUGACCAUUUUCUUCCUCUUUCUCUUCAGUGUUUAACAUGAAGGCUAUACUUUUGACUUUCUUUUUAGAUCCAUCACUCAUUCCCAACUCAAAUGUUUGGAGGGAUCCAAUUAGCUCAUCCACUCUCAUAUUGUAGAUGUCUUGAGAUUCUUCUAUGGCUGUCACUUUCAUGUCAAAUCUCUUGGGAAGUGACCUGAGAAUUUUCCUCACUAGUUUUUCAUCUGACAUCUUCUCACCCAGGGCUCCCGAGGCGUUAGAAUUUUCAAGGAUAUUCAUAUGAAAGUCAUGAAUAUUUUCAUCUUCUUUCAUCCUCAAAUUUUCAAACUUGGUAGUAAGCAGCUGCAAUCUAGUCAUCUUUACUCUAGAGGUACCUUCAUGAGUGGUUUUGAGAAUAUUCCAAGCAUUUUUAGCCACCUCACAGUUGUUCACCAGUCUGAAGAUGUUCUUAUCAACCCCAUUGAAUAUAACAUUCAAUACUUUAGAGUUUCUAAGGGUUAGUUCAUCCUCCUCCUUGGUCCAUUGUUCCCCAGCCUUCUUAUCAGUUGUAACUUCUCCUUCGUUAGUAAUAACGGGAUGUUCCCAGCCUGUUAGAACAUCCUUCCAAGCCUUAUUAUCCAAAGAUUUCAGGAAGGCUACCAUUCGAGGUUUCCAGUAGUCAUAGUUAGAUUCAUCCAGCAUUGGUGGUCUGUGAACAGAUCCUUUGUCUCUAUCCAUAGUACUAGAAAGUAACGUCCCAAGAUCUCACCCAGAACCAGAGCAGGAUGCCUACUCUGAUACUAAUUGAAAUUCUGGUAUUAGAUAUGAGAUGUCGAAGGUAAUGUCACGACACUAAUAUCUGAACAAUAUAAACAGGAUAAAAGAUAAAGAACAAUAGUACAAGUGACACAAGCAAUUGUUAACCCAGUUCUACGUCUGGGCCUCCAAGCCAGGAAGGAAAUCCACUAAACAGAAUUAGUUCAAAGACUCUAGUAAACAACUUCAAGCUACAGUCUUUUCACCUAAUCUCUACCUAUGUGACUUCUAUCUAAGAAACUCUUAGAUAAGAGAUCCUACUCACUCCCCCUCAAUCACAUCAAUGAUGUAAAACAAAUAUCACAAAGAAAGAAGACACUCUUCAAGAACACAUACUUGGUCUAAAAGCUUCAACCAAGUAAACACACACUCAUGCUUCAAAGCUUAGAGUGGACAAAUUACAACACAAAAGUCAGUCCAAUUCAAUCAUCAAUAGGAUGAAUGAAUGGCUCACAAUACACAAGCACACAUAAGACUAAAACCCUUAUUCUCUCUCACUAUUUCGUUCGUUUUCUUAUGUGUUAAAACCAGGUUUUCCAUGCCCUUUAAAUAGAAGCUUUUGAAUGGGCUUGGACAUCAUAAAACCCUAAAUCUAUUUUCCCUUCGUAUAUUCUUAACAGCUGAUCAUAUCUUAUAAAAUAAAUCAAUCUGGUUUUAAUUACUGCUUGAAUGGCGCGUUCAAUCUCCACAUCAAUCACACACAAAUUAGCAUGAAAAGCGCAAUUACAAAAUACAUAACAUUCAGACUGAAUGUUCUGUAUACACAUGUCUUGACAUCAGGUCUGACAUCUCAGCUAAAUCCUGCACAACCAUAUUUAAACACCCUGCAGGAACCUGAUAUCUCAUGUUAAGACAACACUUGUGAAAACUUGUGAAAACUCUAGGUUUUACCAAAAUUGAUGCCAACACAUAGAACCAACAGAUUGAGGUAGGCGUAAAUCCUCCCACCUACGGGGUCGAGAUCCUUUCCACGGGGUUUGUGCGUCUAACAAGGCUAACACUUCAGAUUCCCCGUUGUCCACCUCUUUAUCCGAAUCAAAAAUGGAUAAACUCAACACUCUUUCCAAAGGUGACUGGGGUGUAUGAAAAGGGUUAUCAUAUGUUGUCACCUGAUCCAGAACCUCUAUAGUAUGAUUGGUACAAAUAUCAUCCUUGUACCUCAUGGUGUUUCCAACGUUGAUUUUCAAUUCCUCAUCGUGAACCUUCAGCGUCAUUGUUCCUUCUUCUAUGUUUAUCAAGCACCGUCCCUUCUCCAAAAAGGGUCUCCCCAGAAUGAGAGGGAUCUCUUCAUCUUGCGGCAUUUCAAGAAUUACAAAAUCCACCGAAAAUACAAACUUAUCAAUUUUUACCAGAACAUCUUCGACAAUGCCAUACAGUUUCUUGACCGAAUGAUCGACGAAUUGGAGUGUCAUCCUGGUAUCUUACACAACCCCUAUACCAAGCUUCUUGUAAAUGGAUAACGACAUGAGACUCACACUAGCUCCCAGAUCAAUAAGAGCUUUGUUGAACGACCUAUCUCCAAUAGUACAUGGGAUAGUGACAGCUCCUCGAUCCUUCUUCUUUAUCGGAAUCUUCAUACCCUGCAAAAUAGAACUACAAGUUUCAGUUAGAAUACUCGGGUUAGUGUCGGUGGUAUGCCUCUUCCGAAUGAUAUUCUUCAUGAACUUGGCAUACGUAUGCAUUUAUUCAAGUGCCUCCAACAAAGGAAUGUUAAUCUCCAGCUUCUUGAACAACUCUAAGAAUUUUUCAAAGUUUUUCUCAUGUUGUCCUUUUUUCUUGUUUCUAGUGAGGAAGGGAAGCUUAACAACCGGCUUAGGCUCAAUGACUGUUUCUUUCACAAUCAGUUUCAGUGCUACCACUUCUUCCCUAAUAACUUCAUUUUCUUUGAUCUCAAGGUCCACUUUAAUCAAUUGGUCUUCCUCUUCAUCCACUUCCUUGAUAACUUCAUCCAAUUUACCAUUUCUUGUUGUCACUGCGCUCACAUUAUUAUGCUCUUUAGGAUUUGUCACGAUUGCACUAGGUAGAGCACCUUGUGCUUGAGAACUCGAAGCUAGUUGCUGAGCAAUUUGACCCAUUUGGGCUUCAAGAUUCUUUAUGGAUGUUGUGGUGUUUUUCUGAUUGUUCUGGGUUUCUUCUUGAAAUUGAACAUUAUGAGCUGCCAUUCUUUCAAUGGCAAUUUCCCAAUCAGAUCUCUUAGGGGCAUGUUGUUGCUGUUAUUGUUGAUAUUGAGUUUGGUAUUGACCAUGUUGAGGAGCGGUUCCUUUUUGGUCUUUCCAUGAGAAGUUGGGAUGAUUCUCCCAACCCGGAUUGUACGUGUUGGAAUAAGGAUUAUUCUACUUCAAAAAUUUGAUUUCCUCCACUUGUUAAGAAGUUGCAAAACAAUAAACAAUUUGGUGCAGACCACUACAAAUUUCACAGUAGACAGUAGGAACCAGUUGGACUUGUGCCACCUGUUGGGUACCUAUAUUCAUUGCCUUCAGCUUCUUAUCAACUUCGGAAGCUAUAGUAUCUUCAAUACGGAUUUUAUUAGUUUCCAGCUUUAAAUCUAUAACCCCUUCUGGUUUGCUUUGACACCUAUCGUACAACUCCAUGUGCUCAUUAGUAGCAAUAACUUCAAUGGUCAUCUUGAUACCGAUGGCUGUUUGUGGAACCACCGGCUGCAGUAUCAAUUAACUGUUUGGUCUUUAUUUUAAGACCAUUCACAAACAUCUGCAUUUGUUCAGUUGCAUCCAUAUUAUGAGUUGGGCAGGCUACUAGGACUCUCUUGAAAUCUCUUAUAGGCGUCUCCUAAAGUCUCCCCGUCCUUCUGCUUAAAAUUCAGAAUUUCAUACCUCUUCCGCAGAAAUACCGAUGUUGGAAAAUACUUAUUCAGGAAGACUUUUUCCAUUUCUUCCCAAGAUGUCAUGCUACCGGAAGGUAAAGAAUAAAACGAUUCUUCAGCUUCUUCCGAUAAGGUAAACGAGAACAUUCUCAACUUCUUGGCUUCUUCGGUGUGACCAUCAAUUUUCAGAGUGUUGCUCAUGGUCAGAAACCUCUGCAAAUGCUUGUUUGCAUCUUCAUUCACUUUUCCAGUAAAAUGCUUCCUUUCAAGCUGAUUAAUGGUACUCAGAUGAAGCUGGAAAUUAGCCACGUUCACUGGUUGGUUGACAAUAGUUAAUCUGUCAGUUUGUGCAUUUGCACCUCCGUAGUCUCCCAACAGUCUUUUUGGUGGCGAUGGAACAUUAGCCAUAGUUUCGGUCUCUCUAUCAGAACCUGAAUCUGAAUGGAUGGAAAGUUGUUCUCCGUCUGAUUCCAAUCUGGCUAAUCGAGCUUGUCUGAGUCUUACCCGCAAGGUUCUCUCAAUUUCUGCGUCAAAAGGAAAAUCAGCUGAGGCCUUACCUCGCAUACAAAUAUCAGACACAAAUCGGUUGAUAUAAUCGAAAUAAAAUAUUCAAAAUAACGGAAAAUAAAUUUUAGUUGCAGAGCAACAAAAUUUCAAUUGAGAUAAUUGUAAACUUAUAUUUGGAAAUCCCCGGCAACGGCGCCAAAAACUUGAUCGGGAAAAUAACAAGUGUACUGUUUUGCCGAUGUAGUAAUAAGAGGGAUGUUUCCCAAAGACCGAUCUCGAGGAUUGUGCAACAAUAUAUGAGUAAACAGUCACUCAAUUGAACAAAAGUAAUAGUUUUGGGUUUUGUAAAAUUCACUGUAAGGGAAAAUAAAACAAAUAAAUAUUUUCACAGAUUAUAAUAAUAUGCCAAGGAUGGUGUGUGAAAAUCUCCUGUAAUGACCCUUGAGUGUAUAUCUCCUUAAUAAUGAGUUAACAAAGUUAAUGGCCUAGAAUUCUAACAAACCCCCUAAGACCUCGGAGGGAAACCUUUGGUGUUCAAUCUAACCUCUAAGUCCUUAGGUGAUUAUGAUGAAACCAAGUCAUUUUAAUUUAACAACAAUAAUCUGGUAACCAUUGGGUAUCCCUAGUCCUAAGUGAUAUCUACUAUGGUUUCACUGUCUAAAAACCUUAACAAUUGCAAUCAUGCUAAUCGUUAACCAUACAUCAAUCUUGAUUUUUCUGUUAAAGAAAGCAUUACGCAAAUUACACAGUGAAAUUGAUAACAAAUAACAUAUAUUAAGGAAAUUCUAACAUCUUAGUCCUUACAUGAUCAAUUCAGGGACACCCCCUGGCAUUGGGGGGUUUAGCCUCUCAUAUUAUUCAAAUAAGAUACAAGAUAAAAUUGAGACAUUACAAAAAGUUUGGAAUUUCGUUGAUCUUCAAUCGCAUCCGCUCUUGAAGGAUCUCCAUUCUUCGUUGCUUUCCACUGCUUCAAUCUGUAUCGUCCCUAAUUUUCAAUCGUGAAAAAAAGUCCCUCUCUCCAUUAUCAAAUCUCCUGUAAAUAGUUCUUGAUGAUAAUUUUUAUCUAGCAAAAGUCCAAAAUACCCUCCAGGAUAAGCUAUGCCAAAAACAUCACAAAACUGGAAAAUCAAGUUUCCAAGCCAAACACUGGCCGUGUCAGGCAACACAACAGGCUGUGUUGGGCUUCUAGAGCAAAAGGCUUGACACGCCCCUUCAGGGAGGCUGACACGGGCCGUGUCAGCUGACAUGGGCACCCGUGUCAGCUCCCUAUUUUCCUCUUCCAAGUGCCUUCUCUUGACACGGCCCGUGUUGGGCAACACGAAUGGCCGUGUCAGGACUACUGUACUGUCCAAUUUUCUUCUUCCGACGGGCCCGGAACGUUCAAUUUGCUUGUCUAUCCCUCUGGUACUCUUGCUUACACCUGAAACCAAUAAAACUACCACAAAGGGACAUAAAAUGGAGUAUAAUGAUGCAUAUAACAUGUAAUCAACAACUGGAAACAACAGUGUAAAACAUCUAAAUUACUAAACAAAAUAAUAAAAUAAGUGGACUAAUAUGUUACCGACUUCGUACAAAGGUGCCGAAUGAGUGUCAGAAAACAAGUAAAAUUGGAGACUGAUCAAUUCUUCCACACCAGUUUCACAUACGGUAUCAAGAUUUCAUCAUCGUUAGGACCAACCUGACAAAAAGAGUACUCCAACAUCUUGAAUUUCUCACUGACCCUAUUAGUAGAUGUCAAAUAUUUGAAUUCGAAGUCAAUAUUAUAGACAAGACUAUAACAAACACCAUACUUGUCAAAAUGAUUCUAAAAGUGUUUAUCAAAAUAACACAUCUCAAAACCUAAGAUCUGGAUCUAUUCUCAUAGAAUCAAAGUAUAUUCAAAUUCAACCAAAACCUAAAAAAAACAAAUCCAACUUCACCACCAUCAAAUCCAAGUCCUAAACCAAAUCACCAUUAUUAUCAGAUCCAAUUUCACCACCAUCAACUCCAAUUCAUGAUAAAGCAGCACAAUCUUCACACAUACACUAUCUUCAUCCAUUUCAUGGAAAUGAAGGAGACUCGAUAAAUUAGCAGUUAACCGAUGAUUUUACCUCAUGGAAAUGACAAAAUGCUAGAUCAGGAUGAAGGCAAUGUAGCCGUUCUACAAGCCGGGAAAAAAAAUCAACGAGAGAGAAGGGAUGACGUUGGUGUGAGGAGAGUGGGAAAAGUGCAAUGAUGCUUUCAAAUGACAAUGAAUGGUGUUGGAUCUUCUGAUUUCAGCAAUACCUAUUGAAUGAGGCAAUUCGACCACGUGGCCAAAGGGAUGUAUGUGAUUGGUCAAUUAUUUGUGAAUUAGUUAAUUACACAGAAGGGCAUGUGUUAUUGUAAACUAAGAUUGAGUUAAAGGGAAAUUUAAGGUGAUCUUAUUAUGCAUGUAACAUUCUUAGUUAGGUUACUCUCUCCAUCUUACAAUAUGUGUCAUCUUUCUUAUUUUUAUUUAUAUCAAAUUAUUUGUCUCUUUAGAAUACUAAUGUGAUAUUUAUUAUUUCUUUCCAUUAAUUUAUCUUUACUUAUUGUAUUUUAAAUCAGAUAACUACUUCACUACCUAUUGUUAAUAAAGUUAUUUUAGUAAAUUACAAUUGUUUUAUAAUUGAAAUCAACACAAUUAAUCAUUAUCUUAAAAAGUGUAAAAAUCUCAAAGAAAACACUUAUUGCGAGUAAGAGAAAUUAUUAUUAUUAUUAUUAUUAUUAUUAUUAUUAUUAUUAUUAUUAAUAAUAAUAAUAAUAAUAAUAAUAAUUACUAUGCACUAUGAAUUUAAAAUGUUUUACACUAUUAAUUUAUAACCAUCACCCGUUUAUAUUUUUUUAUAGGUUGUUAAAAUAAAAAUAAAAAUUUUCUCAAUAUUUAAAGUCUAUAAUUAACUAAGGCUUAAUUAUAAUUUUGAUCCCCUAUUUUAUUUUAUUUUUUGAAUCUCGAUUGUUCCAUUUUAAAAAUCACAUUUUAAUUCCUUUUUAAAAUUUUGUGUUAAAUCUUAAUUUCUUUUUAAUUAAAAUCCAAAUAAAAACCUAAAAAAGAAAAAAAAAUUAAACUGGACAUCAAAACCAAAAAAAAAUGAAAAACUAUUAAAGUUGCAAUUAUAUCUAAUGUAAAAUUCUUUUAACUAUUAUCAAUUAAAUUCUAUUAUUAUUGGUUACUUACUAUUAAUCACAUUGGAAUAUAAACUCAUCUUAUCUUAACAAUAUCUAUUCCUACUAUAUCACAUGAGAGUGGACACAAUCUUGCCACUUCAUCAAUAAUCACCACACAAAAUCUCCCUCUCUUUCUAUCUCACCCAUCAUACAUACUUCUUAAACUCCAACUUCUAGCAAUUCAAGUUUUACACCACUCACCACAACAUGGCUACUGCUGCUGCAGGCAUAGCCUCUUUGUUUUCAUCUUCCAUCAACCCUGUCAAAUCUCUCCGUUCCAAAAACUUCUCACUCGAUACAUCCUCAAACCGCAACUUCGCAUCUGUUACAUCACAUUCCUCAGUUGAACCUUUGUGCAUUGGUGCAACAAUCUCAUCACACAAGUUAUGGAUGCCUAGAAUUUCUAUUGCUGUUGCUCAGGAAGAGGCUGUUGUGGCUAUCGAUGAUGAAGAGAAGGCUGUGAUAGAGGAGGAACAAAAAGAACAAGAACAAGAAGAGAAGGAGAAUGGAGGGGAAAUUGAUGCAGAAGUAGACCGUAGAACUAAGCUUUAUUUUGGGAAUUUGCCUUACAGUGUUGAUAGUGCACAACUUGCAGGGCUA
rnacentral:lncRNA from 1 species